GGCACCGGCAGCGCCUGCCGACCACAAGGACCACCAAAUGCUGGAUGAGCCGUCGGAUAUUAUGCUCGACGAGUCGCUGUUGCAUGAUCUAAUGCAGAUGCUGACACCCAUCGGUGACGUUCAGCAUGCCAUCCAGGAGGCGCCCUCUGAUCAUGUGCAGCACCUUCAGGUUCCGGCGACGGCCGUCCAACGCCAACAGACGCUAGGCGAAUUAUCGGCGCACCACUUCCACGGUCCAAUGCCGGCGUCGGUUCACAUGCAGCACCAUCAGGCGACAGCGUCAGCGGCGCCCUUCAACCACGAGCAGCACCUUCAAGCGCCGGUCCACCAAAUGCAAAUGCAGCAUGCANNNNNNNNNNCCACCUUCAGGUUCCGGCGACGGCCGUCCAACACCAACAGACGCUAGGCGAAUCAUCGGCGCACCACUUCCACGGUCCAAUGCCAAGGGAGGCGUCGGUUCACAUGCAGCACCAUCAGGCGACGGCGUCAGCGGCGCCCUUCAACCAGGAGCAGCACCUUCAAGCGCCGGUCCACCAAAUGCAAAUGCAGCAUGCAUCUUCAGAUUAUAGCUUCAGCGAUGUAGUGUUGGAGGACUCGCUGCUCCAAGACCUCAUAAUGCAGAUACCAUCGCCCAUGGCUCACAACAUCCAGGCAGCGCCCGCCGACUACGUGCAGCAUAUCAUGGCUCCGGCACGGGCCACCCAGCAGCACCAGCAGAUGCCGGCCGAGUCUUCGACACGGGGCUUCCACGACCAAAUGCAAGGNNNNNNNNNNNNNNNNNNNNNNNNNNNNNNNNNNNNNNNNNNNNNNNNNNNNNNNNNNNNNNNNNNNNNNNNNNNNNNNNNNNNNNNNNNNNNNNNNNNNGAGAUUCGAUCGUCGGUAUACCUAUACCUUGUUCAAUCUCGUUACCGGUAAGUCUCUUUACUCGUUCCGUAGCACGUCAUCGUGUGACUAACUCCUUAGUCACAUUAAGCUCAUGAUGAUGUUCUACCGAGUGGGCCCAGAGAUACCUCUCCAUCACGCGGAGUGACAAAUCCCGAUCUCGAUUCGUACCAACCCAACAGACACUUUCAGAGGUACCCGUAGUGCACCUUUAUAGUCACCCAGUUACGUUGUGACGUUUGAUACACCCAAAGCACUCCUACGGUAUCCGGGAGUUGCACAAUCUCACGGUCGAAGGAAAAGACACUUGACAUUAGAAAAGCUUUAGCAUACGAACAAUACGAUCUAGUGCUACGCUUAGGAUUGGGUCUUGUCCAUCACAUCAUUCUCCCAAUGAUGUGAUCCCGUUAUCAAUGACAUUCAAUGCCCAUGAUCAGGAAACCAUGAUCAUAUAUUGAUCAACGAGCUAGCCAACUAGACGCUUGCUAGGGACACAUUGUAAUCUAUUUAUUCACACAUGUAUUAUUGUUUCCUGUUAAUACAAUUAUAGCAUGAACAAUAGACGAUUAUCAUGAACAAGGAAAUAUGAUAAUAACCAUUUUAUUAUUGCCUCUAGGGCAUAUUUCCAACAAUCUUCUCGUCUGAUUUUUUUUGGGCGAAAGUGAAUUUACAGAGCUGAGAUUGGGGGCGGCGGAGCCACGUGGGCCCCACAAGCUUGGUUGUCGCGACCAGGGGGGCUUGUGGCCCAAUGGCCCACCCCCUCUGGUGGAUCUUUGCGCAGGUAUUUUUCAUAUUUUCCAGAAAAAUUCUCUGUAAAUUUUCAGGACGUUCCGAGAACUUUCAUUUCUGCACAAAAACAACACCAUGGCAAUUCUGCUGAAAACAGCGUCAGUCCGGGUUAGUUCCAUUCAAAUCAUGCAAAUUAGAGUCCAGAACAAGGGCAAAAGAGUUUGCAAAAGUAGAUACGAUGGAGACGUAUCAAACUCCCCCAAGCUUAAAACCUUGCUUGUCCUCAAGCAACUCAGAUGACAAACUGAGAGAGAAAGAAAAACUUUGACAAACUCUGUUUGAUCUUGUUGUUGCAACUAUGUCUAACUCAUAACCAGAAUUUCAGGAAGAUCACAAGUUAACCACAUAAGCAAGUGACAUAAAGGUCUCACGGUAAACUAAUAUCAAUGGCAUAAUCAGCUAGCGAGCAAAUAAUAAUGAGUUUCAGAUACCAACAAUUCAAUCAAAACAAGCAUGAAGCAAUAUGAAUAGGUGGUAUCUCGCUAGCUCUUUCUGAGACCGCAAAACAUAAAUGCAGAACACUUUCAAAGAUCAAGGGCUGAUUAAACAUUGUAAUUCAUAGCAACGAAGAUCUAGUCAUAGUCAUACUCAAUAUCAAUCAAAAGCAAAGCAUAAAAAUGACAGAGGUGCUCUCUAAUUGGUGCUUAUAUAAGAAGAGGAUGACUCAACGGGAAAAUAAAUAGACAGGCCCUUCGCAGAGGGAAGCAUUGAUUUGCAGAGGUGCCAGAGCUCAAGCUUUGAAAACAGAGAUAAUAAUUUUGGGUGGCAUGCUUUCAUUGUCAACGCAAUGACCAAGAGUUCUCAAUAUCUUCCACGCUACUCAUGCUAUAGGAGGUUCCCAAACAGAAAAGUAAAGUUUUAACUCCCCCACAACCAAUCAAUCACACUCCACGGCUAGCCGAAUCCUCAGGUACCGUCCAUACUAACAUCAAUCCAGGGGGAGUCUUGUUUUAAAGUUAUGUUUUCGAUUUAAGCGUGGAACUGGGCAUUCCAAUCACCAGCCCCUUUCUCGUGAAUGAUAGUGAAUAAACACAUGUCGAGGAUAACACGCCUAACAUGGAAGAUACCAAUAGCCCCUGUCAUCACAUGAGCAGUUCGGGCAUGCAAAACAGAUUAUUUCUUGAAGGUUAGAGAAUGGCACAUGCAAAUUUACUUGGAACGGCAGGUAAAUACCGCAAAUAGGUAGGUAUGGUGGACUCUCAUGGAAAAACUUUUGGGUUUAUGGAAGUGGAUGCACAAGCAGUAUUCCGCUUAGUACAAGUGAAGGCUAGCAAAAGACUGGGAAGCAACCAACUAGAGAGUGACAACGGUCAUCAAGAUGCAAUGAGUUUGACUACCAUGGAAUGCAAGCAUGAACAGGAUAUAAAUCACCAUGAACACGAACAUCAUAGAGGCUAUGUUGAUUUUGUUUCAACUACAUGCAUGAACAUGCGCCAAGUCAAGCCACUUGAAACAUUCAAAGGAGAAUACCAUCCUAUCAUACUACAUCAUAGUCAUCUCAAAAUCUAUGUUGGUAUUAAAGACAAACCAUUAUAAGCUCCUAGCUAAAUAAGCAUGGCAUCAGAAACUAUGAUCUCUAAGUUGUCAUUGCAAACAUGGUUCUCUCACAACAAAGCUGAAUCUAGGACGACAAGCUAGUCAUAUUUACAAAAACAAAAUAGAUAGAGUUCAUACCAGCUUUGCCAGUCUCAGUCACUUCAUCAUAUAUCAUCAUUAUUGCCUUUCACUUGCACGAUCAAACGAUGUGAACAACAAUAAGCGUGCUCGUGCAAUGGACUAAGCUGAAUCUGCAGGCAAACACAAAGGAGAAGACAAAGUAAUAUGGCUCUUUGAAAGCUAAACAGGUAUGCAUGCAAGAGCCACUAAACAUUGUAACCAAUAUCUUCUACCUUGACCCAAAGAAAAAGAAAACUAUUUACACGGAAAGCUCCCAACAAGCAAAAGAAGAAAGGAAAAUCUUUUUGGGUUUUCUCAAAAGGACACAAAACAAGAAAACAAGAAAACGAAAAUAAACUAGCUUGGAUAAUACAGUGGCAAAGUGUAAACACCGGCGAACAAAGUAAAAGCAUAAGCAUGAAUGUAAGGUCGGUGAGAACACGUACUCCCCCAAGCUUAGGCUUUUGACCUACCUUGGUCUACUCCCAAGGCGGGAAAUAACCAGCUCCGGGGUACUCCGGAGCGGACUGUGGAUGCCACUGCUGUGUGAGCUCCUCUGGCUCCCACUGAUAAACUGGCGUCUGAUACUCGACUGGCGGCUCGGGCACGGGCACCUGUGGUUGGGCCAAGCCCCAAUAUGCGUAGAUGUCCGAGGGCAUAAUAGUGUACCUGCAUGCAUGAAGAUCGAACAAAGAAGGAGCAUGCAAAGUAAUAGUCUCUCGGGUACCCUGACUAAAUACCAGGUUAUAAAUCAUCCGUCUACUAGCAUCUCUAUCCAGAAAAUCAUGGCGAACCAUGCUGCCGUAAUCCUCGCGAAGUCUAAUGGGUAUCUCAAAGUGUCUAGCGAGACGAGUAGCAUAGAUACCUCCAUAGAAGACACCUUUGGAACGGUUUGUGUUCAACCGCUGAGCUACUAUAGCACCUAGGCUAUAAGUCUUAGUGCUAUAAAGGCCUUCGCGCAAACCGCAAGGUCUGGAGAGCUAAGUGAUCCAGCCUCCCCACGGCCAAUCAAACAUUUUCCCACAAAUAAUGAGAAGUACUGAAGCACAGGAAAAUGUAUGCUAGCAAUUCUAGCGUGAGACACUCCUCUCUCCUCUCCAACAGCAAUAGUACCUAUGAAGUCCUCCAAGUCCCGUGGACGAGGAUCAUGAAUAUCCCCAACAUAAGGUAAUUUGCAUGCAUUACAAAAAUCCUGCAGUGUCAUGCACUGGAGGAUAUCGUACAACAUGAACUCAACCAUGGGAGGAUUCUUCCUCGGAUAAAAGUUUGAAGCUUUGAACGAAAAUAUUGGUGAGGAGGAGGUAUUGUGAGCACUUAUCUUCAACGAACGCGGUAAGACCUGCGUUCUCCACCAAGUAAUAAAAGUCUUCAUAAAGCCUGGUGGCGCGUAAAAAUUCAUCACUUGGCCACUCGCACGCUCGAACUUCCGUGACUCGAGGAACCACGUACUUGGGGAGGUUCUUCUCAUCCUCCUUGGGGUUACGACUUGAAGAUCCUCUCAAGAACCUCCUCAUCUUUUUCCUUUUCUAGCUCUGAAAAAUUCUGAAAUUUUUAGAGACUUCGAAAGAAAAGUGAAUAAGGAUUAACCCAACUCGUAGCAACUACUCCUACUAGUGCCUAGAGACCGUAUCAUGUGCUAAAACUACUUGGGACCAGCUAAAAUCAACAUUUCAAGCUCAAGAACAGGGUCACCAAGGUAGCAAGAAUACGCGAAGGAUAAAGCACUAGAGCAAAAACUAAUUGGACCAAUGGAGGAGUCACUUACCAAAGAGCAAUUUCCCCAAAACGGUUCGGAGAAUGAUGCUUUGAGCAAGGAGAUCAAAAAUCACAGCCAAAUGAGCAAGAACACGGGUUUGAGCUGCGAUUUUUUUUUCUGGAGGAAGAAGAAGAGGAUGAGAGCUAGAGUGAGUGGAGGGGGCCCCUGUGGGCCCCACAAGCUUGCUUCCCACGGCCAGGGGGUGGCCCGUGGUGACAGGGCUUGUGGCCCAUUGGGGUGGCCCCCAGGCCAGCUCUUUGUCCCAGUAUUUUUCAAAUAUUCCAGAAAAAAUCAUACUAGAUUUUCAGGACCAUCGGAGAAGUUUUAUUUUCGAGGUAUUUUUCUCCGGGACGCUAAAACAGAAAACAGGAAAAAAUAAACUAAACCUAUCAUUUUUCUUCUAAGCAAAAUAAAAUGAAAGCUUAAAAUAGAGGUAUGUGACUCUUUAGUUCAUCCAUUUCAUGGUCAUCGAAAGAAAUUCGUCAAUGGGGUUGAUCAAAUCCUUAUGACAAAACUUUCUCGAAUCGCAAGAGAGAACGGAGAAUUUUCGAAUAGCCACUAAGUCACCACAAUGGGGAUAUGAAUCUCCCCAACAAGCAAUUCAUACUUCAUCUUGACACGAGGAAUAGGGCAUUCAAAGCUCCCAAUAAGAAUCGAUGAAGUUUUUUCGAUAGCAUUGAUGCAAUGUACUUGAUAUCAUUUCUUCAGAAAGUGCAUGGUAUGCUCAUUACCGUUGACGUGGAAAGUGACAUCGCCUUUGUUGCAAUCUAUAACAGCCCCUGAAGUGUUUAAAAAGGGUCUUUCGAGGAUGACCGCCAUGGCAUCGUCCUCGGGAAUAUCCAAGAUAAUAAAGUCUGUUAAGAUAGUGGUGUUAGCAACCACAACAGGCACAUCCUCGCAAAUGCCAACAAGGAAAGCAGUUGAUUUGUCGGCCAUUUGCAGAGAAAUUUCAGUGGGUGUCAACUUAUCCAAUUCAAGUCUACGAUAAAGAGAGAGAGAGGCAUAACACUAACUCCAGCUCCAAGGUCACAUAAGGCAGUUCUUACGUAGUUUCCUUUAAUGGAGCAAGGUAUAGUGGACACUCCGGGAUCACCAAGUUUCUUUGGAGUUCCAGCCUUGAAAGUGUAAUUGGCAAGCAUGGUGGAGAUAUCAAGAUCUGGUAUCUUUCGUUUAUUGGUCAUGAUAUCUUUCAUGUACUUGGCAUAUGGAGACAUUUUGAGCAUAUCAACUAACCGCAUCUGCAGAAAGACGGGUCUUAUCAUUUCAAUAAAGCGCUCAAAAUCCUCAUCAUCCUUUUUCUUGGAUGGCUUAGGAGGAAAGGGCAUAGGUCUCUGAACCCAUGGCUCUCUUUCUUUACCAUGCUUCCUAGCGGUGAAGUCAUUCUUAUCAUAUCUCUUAGGUUGUGGGUUAUCAGGAUUAACUGUAGGUUCAAUCUCCACAUCCUUAUCAUUGCUAGGUUGAGCAUCAUUAUGAACAUCGAUGUCCACAUUGUCACCAGGUUCAUGUUCAUCACCAGAUUGUGUUUCUGCAUCAGACGCAGAAAUAUCAUUUGGUUCUUCAGGUGUGACAGUAUUUGGUGGACUAACAUGCAGGUUUCUAUCAUCCUUCUUCUUCUCCUUAGGAUUACUGGGUGCAUCUGCAUUAAUUCCUUGAGAAUCUUGAUCAAUUCUCUUAGGAUGACCUUCAGGAUACAAAGGUUCCUGAGUCAUUUUGCCUCCUCUAGUGAUGACUCUGACAGAGUUGUUAUUUAAUUCAUUGAGCAGGUCAUUCUGAGCUUUAAGUACUUGUUCUACCUGAGUAGUAAUCAUAGAGGCAUGUUUACUCAGAAGCUUCAGAUCAUUGACAUUUCUGUCCACACAAGCACUUAAGUGACUAAGCAUACGAGUGCUUUGUUCCAAAUGUCUGCUAACAUAAUCAUUGAAACUCUGUUGUUUGGCAACAAAGUUGUCAAAUUCAUCAAAGCAUAGGCUAGCAGGUUUAUCAAAAGGAAUAUCACUCUCAUCAAACCUACGCAGAGAAUUUACUUGUACUACCUGUAUCGGGUUAUCGAGACCAUGGAUCUCUUCGAUAGGUGGUAGGUUUUUGACAUCUUCAGAUCUAAUACCUUUCCCUUGCAUAGAUUUCUUGGCUUCUUGCAUAUCUUUGGGACUUAGGAAUAGAAUACCUCUUUUCUUCGGAGUUGGAUUAGGAGGUGGUUUGGGAAUAGUCCAAGCAUUAUCGUUGAUCAAGAUGUUAUUUAGUAGAGUCUCAGCUUAUUCUACAGUUCGUUCCCUAAAAGCAAAAUCGGCACAACUAUCUAGGUGGUCUUUAGAAGCAUCGGUAAGUCCGUUAUAGAAGAUAUCAAGUAUCUCGUUCUUCUUAAGAGGGUGAUCAGGCAAAGCAUUCUGUAGUUGGAUGAGCCUCCCCCAAGCUUGUGGGAGACUCUCUUCUUGGAGUUGAGCAAAGUUGUAUAUUUCCUGCAAGGCAGCUUGCUUCUUAUGGGCAGGGAAAUAUUUCUCACAGAAGUAAUAGAUCAUAUCCUGGGGGACUACUCACACAUCCAGGAGCAAGAGAAGUGAACCAGGCUUUAGCGUCAUCCUUUAGAGAGAAAGGAAACAACUUAAGGAUAUAGUAGUGGCAGAUCUUCUCCUCACUUGUGAAAAGGGUGGGUAUAUCGUGUAGUUUGGUAAGAUGGGCUACGACCGUCUUAGACUCAUAACCGUGGAAAGGAUCAGAUUCGACUAGAGAGAUUAUCUCUGGAUCGACAGAGAAUUCAUAAUCCUUAUCGGUGAUAAAGAUAGGUGAAGUGGCAAACUUUGGGUCGUAUUUCAUCCUAGCUUUCAGAGAUUUUUCCUUUCACUUGAGAAGUAAUUUCUCGGUGUCAUAGGCAUCCUUACACGCAAGAAAAUCUUCAGCUAUCUCUCCCUCCAUAACGUAACCCUCACGUAUAUCAAGCAAUUCAUAUCUAGGAGAGCUAGAUCUAGCAGGAGCAAAAUCAGGUUCUAUCUCAAUAGUAUCGGCAGUUUCAGAAGUAUCACGAGCAUUGGCAGUAACUGUAGCAAUAUGAGCAUCAAGGAAUACCCCUAGUGGCACAUCAGGCAAAGUAGUAUCUCUAGCAGUAUCAAGCGUAGCAUCAUCAGGCAAAAUAGCAUCUCUAGCAUCAUCAGGCAAAGCAGUAGCAAGCAUAGCAUCUCUAGCAGUAUCAGGCAUAACAUCUCUAGCAGUAUGAGGCAUAGCAUCAAGCAUAGUAGCAUUAUAAGCAUCAUCAAGCACAUGCGACAUAUCAAGAUUUCUAGCAGUAGGUGAUGUCGCAAACUUACUCAUAACUGAAGGUGAAUCAAGUGCCGAACUAGAUGGCAGUUCCUUACCUCCCCUCGUAGUUGAGGGCAAGACUUUGGUUUUCGGAUCCUUCAGAUUCUUCAUAGUGAUCAGCAGAUAUAAAUCCCAAGUGACUCACAGAAUAUAGCAAUACCUCCCCGACAACGGCGCCAGAAAAAUGUUGAUUGGCACUCUCUGGCAAUAGCUAGACGAAUGAUGAUUCUGUGACAACAGACCUUCCCCUGCAACGGCACCAGAAGAAUGCUGCUAGCACUCCCCGGCAACGAAACUAGAAGAAUGUUGUUGAUGGCCCACCAGCGCGUGGUUUCGCAGCAGUUUUCGAGGGUAGAGUAUUCGACCCAAAUUUGUUGAUUCGCCAGGAGGUGAGAGAAUACUCUCGAGUAUUAGCAGCUGAAUUUGUCUGAUUCAACCGCACCUGAAAGAUUAGUAUCUGCAAGCAAAGUAGUAGCAGCAAAGUAAUAUGAUAACAACGGUGUCAGAAACGAUCUGUUGACACGGAAGACUAUUUCUAACGGUCGUAUCAAUGGCGCCAGAAGUUGCCCGUUGACGGAAAUUGUCUGUUCCCGUCAACGACCAGCGAACCAAAAUUAUAGCAGGUAGCAGCAGUGUAACGAGUAACGGCAGUGGCAAGGAACAGCAGUAGUGACAACAGUAGCAAGUAGCAACAAUAGCAAGCGACAGUAGUAACAACAGUAGAAGCACAGCAAGACAAGUAACAACAGCAGUGGGACAAACUCGUAGGCAAAGGGUCGGUGGUUCGUUUGGAUGAUAUUCAUCAUGCAACAGUUAUAACACAGAGAGAUAUGUGGCUAGCUCCCGUUCGUCAAUGUGAUGUAGGCAUGCAUUAUGUGUGUAGUCAUACGUGCUUAGGGAAAAGAACUUGCAUGACAUCUAUUGUCCAUCCCUCCCGUGGCAGCGGGGUCCAAAAGGAUACUACAGGAUAUUAAGGUUCUCCUUUUAAUAAAGAACCGAAACAACGCAUUAGCACUUGGUGAACACAUGAACUCCUCAAACUAUGAUCAUCACCGGGAGUGGUUCCGGUUAUUGUCACUCCGGGGUUGCCGGGUCAUAACACCUAGUAGGUAACUACAACUUGCAAGAUCGGAUCUAAAACACACAUAUAUUGGUGACAACAUAAUAAUUUCAGAUCUGAAAUCAUGGCACUCGGGCCCUAGUGAUAAGCAUUAAGCAUGGCAAAGUAGUAGCAACAUCAAUCUCAGAACAUAGUGGAUACUAGGGAUCAAUCCCCGUCAAAACUAACUCGAUUACAUGAUAGAUCUCAUCAUGCUCAUCACUGCCCAGCGAGCCUACGAAUAGAUUACUCAUGAACGAUGAAGAGCUUCAUGGAAUUGGAGAGGGAAUAAGGUUGAUGAUGACGAUGGCGACGAUUUCCCCUCUUCGGAGCCCAAAACGGACUCCAGAUCUGUCCUCGAGAUGAAGAACAGGAUGUGGCGGCGCCUCCGUAUCGCAAACGCGACGAAAUCUUCUCUUCUGAUUUUUUCUGGGCAAAAGUGAAUUUAUAGAGCUGACAUUGGGGGGGGGGCGGAGCCACGUGGGCCCCACAAGCUUGGUUGCCGCGGCCAGGGGAGUGGCCGGGGCAACAGGGCUUGUGGCCCACUGGCCCACCCCCUCUGGUGGAUCUUUGCGCAGGUAUUUUUCAUAUUUUCUAGAAAAAAUCUCCGUAAAUUUUCAGGACGUUCCGUGAACUUUCAUUUCUGCACAAAAAUAACACCAUGGCAAUUCUGCUGAAAACAGCGUCAGUCCGGGUUAGUUCCAUUCAAAUCAUGCAAAUUAGAGUCCAAAACAAGGGCAAAAGAGUUUGGAAAAGUAGAUACGAUGGAGACGUAUCAGUAUCCUGUUAAUACCUCGAGCACGCAGAAAAUGUGGGAGGUGAUGUCUGCUUGUAUGAUCAUGCACAAUAUGAUCGUAGAAGAUGAGCACCUGGAACGUCUGUGCGAUCAAGGGUUCGCAAAACUAUGUGAGACAUUUUUACUUUUAUUCGGCUUGUAAGACUAUGCUAUUUUAUUCGGUUGAAACUAUGUGGAGGCGGCGGGGCCUUCCUCCUGUCUGAGGAUGNNNNNNNNNNNNNNNNNNNNNNNNNNNNNNNNNNNNNNNNNNNNNNNNNNNNNNNNNNNNNNNNNNNNNNNNNNNNNNNNNNNNNNNNNNNNNNNNNNNNUGCAGAAUGUUAUCAGUGGCGGGUCUGCAACAGCACCCGCCACUAAUCAUCAAGGUAGCAUAGGCGAGCAUGCACUACUGCUCCCCACAGCUUCGUGUAUGCAACAGUAAUCAGCUCAAGUCCGUUUUGUCGCCCACCACCCCAAAUCAACAAUGGCAGGCCAGUUGGCGUGCCCGUCGCAGACAGGAACUUUCCCGACUACACGUGCACGCUCCUCUCCCUGCCAUACUUCACUUCGCUCUCUCUCACUCUCACUCUCCCCCAUCAGUGAUGGCACACUUCACGCUCUCCCACUGUCACUCUCCCCCGCAGCCAUCCACUGUCGUUGUCUUCCGCUGCCGCCGUCGCCCUGAUCCGCCCUGUCGUCGUAGCCCCAAUCCACCCCUUCGCCGUACACUCGGUAAUACAUCGACAUCUCCGCCUUCUCUGCCUCGCUCUCUCCAGCUUUCCUCAUCGCCAUCCGCGGCCGCGUCGCCAUGCACAUGCACAGCCGUAGCAGCAGCCACACACACGCACACACACAUGGCUAGGGUUAGGGAAUAUAAUUCAACUAGUUCAAUAUUUUUUUAAUAAGGGCACAUAUCGAACGUUGAUAGCACGCAACCACUUUGUCGUAGGUGAAAGUAGUAGCAUAGACAGAGAAGUGGGUCAUCUUAUAUGAACACAUUAAGAUAAAAGUAGGAUCUAUCACCAAAUAAAUUACUUUUUUGGGUUAUCACCAAAUAAAGUUUAUAGGACAAUAUCAAUUUAUAACAUGGAAUCAAUCUUUUUAAAACAAGGUUGAUAUUUAUAUUGUGGUGUAAUAGUUGUAUUCAUUUAUUUAUAGGGAUUCAUACCAUAAGCGCUAAAGUUUUGGCGAAAUGUUAAUUUAUUUCUGUUUUGCCAAAUUUCUAGUUCUUAAGUGUCCAUUUUUAUGAAGAGGCAUGUCAAAAAAAUUGUUUAUUUUUAAUUCAGAUUGUGUUCUUGAAGAUUUCUUCGGUUCCAUAAAUGGCGGACAACGACAGGUACCGUGGUGUUGUCCAGAGGCCGUGGGAAGUGAGGCACCCAAAUCCAAAACCCCGUCACUGGCAAGAAACAAUGGACCAGCACAUUCAACUUCACCGAUGAAGCGGCGCGCGUUUAUGAUGCCAAGGCUCUCGAGUACGAGGGGAGAAGGAGGGCCCGGCUCAAUUUUCCUCAGGAUGCUUGGUGUGCGAGUGAGAUAGCGCCUCCUAACAUGAGGAUAGUGUCCAAGGCCGAGGACCAGAGCACCUGAAGGCUGAGGCACUCCUUAGGGCCCAUGAACAUCAGAGCACCAAUCCCUUGGUGGAACGGUAUCUUCGGGAGGAUCCGCAUCUAUAGGGCAUUAAUGAGGUGUUGUUGAUCACCGCAUGCAACGAGAAGGAUGCUGAGGAUGACCCGAUAGGCUAGGAUGAUCUCGCCAAGCAGGACGACGAGAAUUAGAUUAGAAGUUGAUCGGCAGUGGGUUAUGGCAUAUUAUUGUAACCUAUGUAUUUAUGAAUGGGGUUGUUGGAAGAAUUUUCUUAACUGGCAUUGUUUGUAUGUGUAAUUUUCAAGGAGUAUUCUUUUGUCUUCUUCUCAUUCUAAUGCCCCAUAGCUACCCGAGAUCCUCGAGGUCGGUCCAGGAGAAGGCGAGGAGUGAGGAUUCUUGGAACACUUUUCUAGAAACUGUUGGGGAACGUUGCAUGGGAAACAAAAAAUUUCCUACGCACACGCAAUACCUAUCCAUGGUGAUGAUCAUCUACGAGAGGGGAGAGUGAAUCUACAUACCCUUGUAGAUCGCUAAGCGGAAGCGCAUAUAACGCGGUUGAUGUAGUGGAAUAUCUUCACGAUCCAAAUUGCAGCUCGUCCCACGAUCUCCUCACGGUCCGUCCCGCGAUCCCAUCACGAUCCAUCUGGAUCUAGUGUCGGACGGACGGCACCUCGCGUUCAGCACACAUACAGCUCGACGACGAUCUCCACCUUCUUGAUCCAGCAAGAGGGGCGGAGAGGUGGAUGAGUUCUCCAGCACGACGGCGUGGUGGUGGUGGUGGUGAACUAAUCGAGCAGGGCUUCGCCUAAGCACCGCCGAAUUAGACUAGAAGAGAAACCGAUCUAGAUGAAGUAGAGGGAGCACGAGGCAAUUAGGGUUAGGGAUGCCUCUAAUUCCUCUAGUAUAUAUAGGAGGUAGGGAGGGGAGGAGGCAGCCUCAAACCCUCAAGGUUUGGCCAAAAUUGGAGGUGGAGGAGUCCUACUCCAAUCCUACUAGGAGUAGGAUUCCUCUUCUCCACUUGGAAACCCUUUCCUCAUCUUCCACCUUUGGGUUUUUUCCUUCUCAAACCUCAUGGGCCUUAGUGGGGGCUUAGGCCAGCCCACUAGGGGCUGGUUUGUCUCCUCCAAUCCGCCUUGGGCUUUAGUGGAGGCUUCGGCCAGCCCACUAAGGGCUCGUCCACGUCCUCCCACAGCCCAUGAGACCCUUUCGGGUGGGUGGGCCCACCUGGUGGACACCCGGAACCCAUUCGUCACUCCCGGUACAUUGCUGAAAAUGCCCGAAACUUUUACGGAUUUCAAAACCCACUUUCCUCUAUAUCAAUUUUUACCUCCGAACCAUUCCGGAGCUCCUCGUGAUGUCUAGGAUCUCAUCCGGGACUCCGAACAACUUUCUGUUAGCAAACACACAUAACUCAAUAAUGCCGAAACGUCAUCGAACCUUAAGUGUGCAGACCCUGCGGGUUCGAGAACUAUGCAGACAUGACCGAGACACUCUCCGGUCAAUACCCAAUAGCGGGACCUAGACGUCCAUAUUGGAUCCUACAUAUUCUACGAAGAUCUUUAUCGGUUGAACCUCUAUGCAAGGAUUCAGUUAAUCCCGUAUGCAGUUCCCUUUGUCCUUCGGCAUGUUACUUGCCCGAGAUUCGAUCGUUGGUAUCUCUAUGCCUAGUUCAAUCUCGUUACUGGCAAGUCUCUUUACUCGUUCCGUAAUACAAGAUCCCAUGACUAACUCCUUAGUCACAUUGCUUGCAAGGCUUAUUGUGAUGUUGUAUUACCGAGUGGGCCCCGAGAUACCUCAACGUCACACGGAGUGAAAAAUCCCAGUCUUGAUCCAUGCCAACCCAACAGACGCCUACGGAGAUACCUGUAGAGCACCUUUAUAUUCACCCAGUAACGUUGCGACAUUUGAUACACACAAGGUAUUCCUCUGGUAUCCAAGAGUUGCAUGAUCUCAUGACCAUAGGAACAGAUAUAUUUACAUGCAGAAAACAGUAGCAAUAAACUGGCAUGAUCAUAUGCUACGUUUAUAGUUUGGGUCUUGUCCAUCACAUCAUUCUCCUAAUGAUGUGAUACCGUUAUCAAGUGGCAACACUUGUCUAUGGCGAGGAAACCUUGACCAUCUUUGAUCAGUGAGCUAGUCAACUAGAGGCUCACUAGGGACAGUGUGUUGUCUAUGUAUCCACACAUGUAUUUUAGUUUCCAAUCAAUACAAUUCUAGCAUGGAUAAUAAACAAUUAUCAUGAACAAGGAAAUAUAAUAAUAACCAAUUUAUUAUUGCCUCUAGGGCAUAUUUCCAACAGAAACAGGUGACAAUAAGAAUUAGUGCGAUAGCGGAAAUCAAUUCCUUAGGGAUACAUGAGGUGUAGUGAUUAAACGUCCAAUGCUUUUAUCUCGAGAAAUACCUAUUAAUCGAGGCAACCCCGCGUGACACUAAAGGCUUGUGGUUACACGACUGGCUCGCAAUGCAGGUCACUAGUCGUAGUAAUGUGCUUUGGACAAAUCCCCACUUCAUCGUGUUGUAAGUGCAUCAUAACGGGUGUCUACCAGGACCAUGUUGUAGUUAAGACAUCCCACACACAAGAAUAAAGUUAUGAUUAAGUCCACAUACCCAUAGCUAUUUCCAUAUCAUUAUUUAUACUACAAAAAGUUUUGUCAUUUAAAAGUUUUGAAAAGCUGGAACUUCUCACGAGAAUAGUAACUUGCUUGGAUAUUUGUCAUAGAGCACAUCCUCCAAUGAAUUCAAUACCCAAGGUCACUCCUUGGGGAAAAGGUAAGGGACUAUCUGCAAACCAAAACUGGAUCAUGAAGUUAUUCAAUAACCUUAUCUUGUCAAGUAUCUUGCCAAGGUGGCGUGUGAACUACUAAACCUCAAGUUGGAUACUUUCAAGUAUUUGUCUCAAAAUGCUACAUUCUUCAUAAGCACCGUUGUUCAAAUUUUUCUCGCAAGUGGCAUGAAGGAUUUCUACUUUGUUAUGGAUCGAACUCGCAUACCUAUUGUGUCCUCAAAAAAUUCUCACAAAAGUUAGGGAGAUGGUAGUUGUGAAGUUUGAUGAAUCCAAUGGAUCCCAAGUAGAGUAAUUACUAAAUUAUACAUGUGACAAGGAAUCUUUUGAAGUGAUCAAGGACUUAACCUUUGGCAAGAUCAUGCACAUGGAAUUUACAGAUAGUUCUUCUUCUAUUAAAGUGGAACCAUCUACAUCACAUCCAAGUGAACCUCAGGGAAACGAAGAGGGUCCACAAGUAUCGACCAAUAAGAGAAGUUAAUCAGGAAUAUCAUUAACCUCCUUCACCUACGUAUCUAGUGCAUGAUGAUCAACAUGAAGACGAGGAAGAAGCUCAUGAUCCUAAACCAAAGGUACCUCGAGUUAUGAUAUGUCUCAAACGUGUCGAUAAUUCUUAUACGAGUCAUGCUAUAUUGCUCUCAAUUAUAAACACUCUCGUCAUGCUUUUUAUUGCAUUCUAUUGGACUAACAUAUUAAUCUUGUGCUUGGUGCUAGUUUCUGUUUUAUGUGUUUCCGAAUUUUCAGGAAAAUAUCAAGGAAAAUUUAAACAAAAAUGUUUUGGAACUUCCAACAACACAAGACCUGGGAGCUGGACCCACGGGCCCUAGGUUGUGGUGCCCCAUGGUUGGCCUCUGGUGCCCAAUAGUCCAAAGAUACCGCCAUUUUGCAUCAUGGUUAUAGAGCAUUUUUCUGCCAACGCAUCAUCGCGAUACGAAGGUGGUCUUCAUUUUCAGCCCUAAUUCAAAGCUCUACCAGAGGGAGAAUUCAUCUGCAUAACCACCAACCCCGAUACUCAUGAUCCAUAAUGAGUUGAGUAGUCCACCCCGAUGACUAAGGGUUCAUUGAAGUAGCCAAUGUUCUAAUCUCUCCUCCUAUAUGUGUUUUUCAUGUUCAAUACAAUAGUCAUAUGAGAUGUCUUACAUGAUUAUGGUUUAUCAUAUGUGUUUGUUGUGGGAUAGAGAUCAUGUGGUGAAUUAACUCUAUAUGUUCAUAUUUGUGUAUGCUUCACAUCUGAUAUACGAUGCAUCACUCUUUGAGGAUAAUUGUAUCUACUUGGCCAGUUUAGACAUAUUAUCAAUAGUGAAAGAGGUGUGCAUUUGUUCGAUUCAUAUUACAAGUAAUCUACCAUAGUGACAGGAAGUGGAAAAGUUUUGUUAUGUAUUGUUGCCGCUAAGGUUUUAAGGGUUAGUACAGCUAAUAGUCCCCUAACCAUAACAAUAUGGCAUCAUUCUAAAUGCAAUUACACGUGUUUACACAUAAUGUCCCGCGUGUCUAGCGAUGGAGGAGGCGAAUGGAGGGGUGGAGGUGAUGGGAGGAGGAGGUAGGUUGUCGAAUGCGGAGUUGAAUAGGAGAGGGAGGAGCCUACAUCAGGGUUGAGCAGGAGCACACAACACUCGCUAUGAUGCAUCCAUGAUGCGUGGCAUCGGGCAAAGUUGAAGGUGCGACAACUGUGGGAUGACAUCCUCUAUGCCCUACCAAGUGGUGCGGGACAUACUCCUGCCAACAUCGAGGUGAUCGAGUGCGUGCUCACCCCUCCUUGAUAUUCCACUCUACAACAUGGGCCGUUUGGCGUGUGUGCGUUAUGAUGCUGCCGGAGUCGGGGGAGUUCCAUCGUGUGUUGUGUGUUGGCGUACUUAGACUAGUAGCAUUCACUACGCUUGAGUAGAAAGCCGCCCUCCGACAAGUGAUGGCAACCAAGUUGGAAACUCCUUUGCAUUGUGGUUCGUCUAGUGCCCUCUCUGCACAUGUGUCCAGUCAUUCCUUUUGAUCUUUGAUAGGUCUAUGUGCAAAUGAAGCUGAAUUCUUUUGCUGGCCAUGGAAAUUUAUAAUUCAAGAUAUCAAUAUCUAAUCCUUAAUUAUACCGUGAUGCCUUUUUCAUGAAAUCUAUGUUCCUAUGAUGUUCAAAACUGCAUUCAUAAUAUGGGCAUUUUUCUGAAUUAUUUAAUGUUUGUUUAAUGACAUAAGCAGGAGUAUAUGCUAUAAAAACAUGGCACUUUUUGUAAAAUGAUAUGUCAACUUUUUAAGAGUAAACAAAUUUAGUAAUUUUAUAGAAUGACAUCAUAAAUUUUUUAAGAAUGCAAUGGGAAAUUUCAAGUUUUCUAAUACAUACAUACAAUCAUUAUGUUAAACUUUGAUAGUGAUUUUCACAUGGCACAUUCGAAGAUCUUUUUUCCAUCUCAUCCUCUAGGUUCGUAAUACAUGCAUAAACAUGCCGCAAUAUUCUUUUUGAAGAUGUUUUUUUGCCAUCACAUCUUAACUUGUAAGAGAUCUUUUAUUCAUUACAUGCCGCAAUAUUCUUUUUGAAAAUUUGCUUGCUUUUUACUCCCUCCGUCCCAUAAUAUAGGAUGUUUUUGCAAGAUAACAUAGCUUGCAAAAUCGUCCUAUAUUAUAGGAUGGAGUGAGUAGUUAUCAACUAACCAUGAUAAAAAUUUCUGAUGUUUGUGUCAUGUGCUCAUUCUAAUUGGUUUACUAAAUUUCAAUAAUUGUUAUCAUUACAAUUCUUAUUAUGUAGACCAUGGCAAAAUAGCUUCUUGCCAAUAUCGUGGCAAAUUCUUAAAUUUUUUAUCACUUUUAGAUAAUAAAUCCUUUCACUUUGCCACCUUCUUCAAAAAGCGGACAAUUUGUUCAUUUUUGUAUGCAAUGGCAAUUUAUGGUUCAUGCUAGCAAUUUUCAUACACAACUUUUCUGUGUUGUAUUUUUUUGUCUGUACUAUUUUUAUGUUUGUUCUUUGCCUUGUAGCUAAGUUUAUGCCAUGGAAAUUUUAAGUUUGAUUUUCUUUAGUUAUAAACUAAUCACGUGGCAUAUUUGUUUUAUUCUACACAAAUUUCAUGCCAAUUUAUAAGGUUGGUGGCAAUUUAAUGAAGAGAAAAUACAAUACACACGAAGAUUUAAUAAUUCAUUAUGGUUUAUGGGUCAUGAGAAAAGUAGGGAUAAUAAACAUGUAAAAUUUUAAUAACACAUGACAAAUUUGUUUUCGAUGACACAUUGCAAAUUGGUUUGAUGACUCGUGGGAAUUUUAGGACAUGUCCACUCCCAAAAUGUAACUAUGAUUGCCAUGUUCCAUCUACACUUUUUCUAGGGAACAAAAAUCCUAUAAUUGCCAUUUGUUAUAAGGACAUUUUACCUAUUUUUGGCAUGUGCAAAACUAUGUUGUUGCCAAAUUAUAUUGUAACAUAAAAUUAGUUUGCCAAGGCAAAAAUAUUCAUGGUAAUUUUUGAGUAGUUGACCAUGCCAAAUUUAUAAAUGAACAUGCCAAAAAAAUUACAGACCAUUACAAAUUUAGUAAUAGACCUUUGCAAAUUUAAUUCAUGGAUCAUGGAAAAAUCAGGACUUGAAUAUUGGAAAUCUAGUAAUUGAUGCCAAAAGUUAGUCAUGUACCAUGGCAAAUUUAGUUUGUGGAUCACAAGAAAUUUAGUAAUUGACCAUAGGAACUUUUAAUAAUUGAGCAUGAAAUUUUUAACUAAUUAACCAUGCCAACAAGUUUUGUGGAUCAUGGAAAAUUUAGUUUAUGGAACACGAAAAAUUUAGUAAUUGACCCUGGCAAAAAUAUAUUAUGGGAUUAUGGAAAAUUAACUUUAUGGAUUACGAAAAAAUUAGUAAUCUACUUUCACAAAUUUAAAAAUGCCCGUGGCAACAAAAAAACAUUUUUAUGUAUCAUGUCAAGUUAAGUUAAUUUCUCAUGGCAAUUUUCAUUCCUCUCAUGAAAACAACCACUUUCUAAACCAGGUCAAUUUAGUUGAUGCUUUCUUAUCUUGAGCAUCAAGAAAACUGGUUUUGUAUGUAGCAUGGCCAUUUUUACCAUAACCUACACACCGAAAAAAGGUGAUUGCAACAAUGAACGUUUAGAUAGGUGAUACAGUGGGCAAAAGUGCACACACACAUGUUUUUACAUUGAUCUUUAGCAUCUAAUGAAUACAUUUUUUUUGCCACGGCAAAUCUUUUUACACACAAAUUUCUAUCUUUCCCCAAUGGCGAGCAUUUUUUUAUGUUGACAAUCUGCAAGUUUUGCCCUGGAAAGUUACAAACAAAUUCGCGAGCUACUCCAAUGAUUUAAUAAUACAAAAAAUUCACAAUUUAGUUUGUGAUUUGGCAUUGCAGUACCUUGUUCAGGUUGUAGCAAUUUUAUAGGUAUAUUUUAGUCAAAAUCUGAACUGGAGUAACAAGUUCGGAUUCGUUGUGUUUUUUUCCGGAAGAAGAUUCAUUGUGGGGUUGGGAUGAUGGAGGGGGCAUCUUUCUUUUUCCCUGCUUUAAGACCGUUUUGGCAUGAUUCUGGUUGGGUCAGCUAGCCCAUCCAGGGCAAAUCAUUUUAAAACAUUGGCGAUUGGGAAGGCCCAGCAAGGCAUGGAAUGUGGUGGAAGUUGGUUGAAGCAAACAAUUUUGUCGGAUCAAACUAUUGGGUCCUAGCCAACGUUUCGUUUGAUCUGGGAGCUCUCAGAUCGUACGUUAGGUGGAUAUUGGCGUCCGUGAUUUAAAUAUAGAAAACACACCCUAAAAGUGCAAAAUUUUGAUGUGUUACAUGUAAUGAUGUGUGUGAAAAAAUAUCAAAACAAGCUGAUGAAACUCGCCUUCAGACCUAACCCAAAAAAAUCAAAUGAAAUAAAAGAAAGAAAGAAACAAAACAGAGAAGACAAAAAGAAAAAUAAUCAGGAAAGAAAGCAAAGAAAAAAAGUGCUUGUAUUCCAUCCUGAGUUGUUAAUUAUGGAAUAAUCAGGAAAGAACAUUUUACCUAUUUUUGGCAUGUGCAAAACUAUAUUGUUGCCAAAUUAUAUUGUACCAUAAAAGCAGUUUGCCAAGGCAAAAAUGUUCAUGGUAAUUUUUGAGUAGUUGACCAUGCUAAAUUUUUAAAAAUGAACAUGCCAAAAAAAUACAAACCGUUACAAAUUUAGUAAUAGACCUUUGCAAAUUUAAUUCAUGGAUCACGGAAAAAUCAGGACUUGGCCAUGGGAAAUCUAGUAAUUGAUGCCAAAAAUUAGUCAUGUACCAUGGCAAAUUUAGUUUGUGGAUCACAAGAAAUUUAGUAAUUGACUAUAGCAAAUUUUAAUAAUUGAGCAUGAAAAUUUUAACUAAUUAACCAUACCAACAAGUUUUGUAGAUCAUGGGAAAUUUAGUUUAUGGAACACGAAAAAUUUAGUAAUGGACCGUGGCAACAAAUUAUUAUGGAUCAUGGAAAAUUAACUUUAUGGAUUACGACAAAUUUAGUGAUCUACUUUCACAAAUUUAAAAAUGCCCGUGGCAACAAUUUUUUUAUGUAUCAUGGCAAGUUAAGUUAAUUUCUCAUGGCAAUUUUCAUUCCUCUCAUGAAAAUAAUCACUUUUUAAACCAGGUCAAUUUAGUUGAUGCUUUCUUAUAUUGAGCAUCAAGAAUAUUGGUUUUGUAUGUAGCAUGGUCAUUUUUACCAUAACCUACACACCGAAAAAAGAUGAUUGCAACAAUGAACGUUUAGAUAGGUGAUGCAGUGGGCAAAAGUGCACCCACAUGUUUUUACAUUGAUCUUUAGGAUCUAAUGAAUACAUUUUUUUGCCAUGGCAAAUCUUUUUACACACAAAUUUCUACCUUUCCCCAAUGGCGAGCAUUUUUUUAUGUUGACAAUCUGCAAAUUUUUCCUUGGAAAGUUACAAAAUGUUUUGCCAGCUACUCCAAUGAUUUAAUAAGUCAAAAAAAUCACAAUUUAGUUUGUGAUUUGGAAUUGCAGUACCUUGUUCAGGUUGUAGCAAUUUUAUAGGUAUAUUUUAGUCAAAAACUGAACUGGAGUAACAAGUUCGGAUUCGUUGUUUUUUUCCAGAAGAAGAUUCAUCGUGGGGUUGGGAUGAUGGAGGGGGCAUCUUUCUUUUUCCCUGCUUUAAGACCGUUUUGGCAUGAUUCUGGUUGGGUCAGCUAGCCCAUCCAGGGCAAAUCGUUUUAAAACAUUGGCGAUUGGGAAGGCCCAGCAAGGCAUGGGUUGUGCUGGAAGCUGGUUGAAGCAAACAAUUUUGUCGGAUCAAAAUAUCAGGUCCUAGCGAACGUUUCGUUUGAUCAGGGAGCUCUCAGAUCGUAUGUUAGGUGGAUAUUGACGUCCGUGAUUUAAAUAUAAAAAACACACCCGAAAAGUGCAAAAUUUUGAUAUGUUACAUGUAAUGAUGUGUGUGGAAAAAUAUCAAAACCAGCGACUGAAAUUCGCCUUCAAACCUAACCCAAAAAAAUCAAAUCAAAUAAAAGAAAGCAAGAAACAAAACAGAGAAGUCAAAAGGAAAAAUAAUCAGGAAAGAAAGCAGAGAAAAAAAGUGCUUGUAUUCCAUCCUGAGUUGUUAAUUAUGGAAUAGAGGGAGUGAAUUAAGGCACGUGCAGAGGCACACGCAGGGCGCUUCGUUACAACAGAAUCACAAUGUACAUAUGUACUUCAACAGACGUGUCACCUUGUCUGCCGAGUCCCUUUCCGAAGACACUCGGCAUAGGCUGGCUUUGGCCAGUACCAUAGCUUUCUGAGUGUGUGUUUUUUCGCACACUCGGCAAAUGUGGGCUAUGUCGAGUGUUUAUAUUUUGCUGGGUGUUUUUCGCCCGCUCUUGGAUUAGGCAGCUGCUUGCCGAGUGCCCAGUCUCCUCAACAAAAUGCACUUGGUAAACAGGUGAGCACUAAGUAUGAAAACCUUUCUUGUACGUGUAUAUAGAGAAAACAGAAGAAAUAGCUACGAAUUGAUUGGCAAUAAACUUGUCUUGCCAACCUCUUUGUAUUUGCCAAUCUUUUGGCAUGCUUUUGAGUUACGAAAUGUUGGCGUGCGGAAAUAUUGGCGUGCCAAAAUAUUAGUGCGUGCCAAUCGACCCAUCUGACCGGCGUACACUAUUUUGUUUUCGAGGGAUUGAACGAAGUACAUCAACUUCUGGACAACGUGACUACUAUUUGGCGAACCAACAAUAAUAUCUUCACCCCCUCAGGGUUCAACUCCUCGUGCUCGCAUUUUUUUCUAGAAUUUCCGGCGAUGCAUAUAGUGUGCAUGUUUUCAUAUGUGUGAGUGUAUGCAUGUGUAAAAGAACGCUUGCGUCUGUAGUGUGUUAGAAAGAAAACGUGACUAUUGUAUAUAUGUUAACAAAGGAAUUAUUUGAUACACCUAGAUCUCACCUAAUUCUACCACAAUAACUCUCUAAUUCUACCACUAUAACUCUACGAUUUGCAAAUCAAUUAACAUAUCUACAUAUCAUGGACAAUAUCUCUUUCCAAAGCAAUUAACGUACCGACGUCAUGAACAAUAUAUCACGGGCUACUAAGGCUGACUACUGUAUGUAUAUUAACAAAGGAAUUACUUUGAUACACCUGGAUCUCGCCUAAUUCUACCACUAUAACUCUACUAUUUGCAAAUCAAUUAACAUAUCUACAUAUCUUGAACAAUAUCUCUUUCCAAAGCAAUUAACAUACCGACAUCAUGGACAAUAUCUCACGGGCUACUAAUACGUGGAAUGUCCAUAACACACAAAUCUCUCGGAUUGAUUACCAUGCACGAUUAUCUCGCAGUUAUUAUGUCAUGUAUAUUAUAAAUGUACUAGAGGCUACGGCAACACAAGGCGGUCGUCGUCUAUAGUAAUUUUCUCCCCCCAUACACACAUUCCAAGUGGAUUGAUCGAGGUCAAGACCCAAAGAUGAGGCAUGUGUUGUUCAUCGUGUUCCUCCUUGUUGGAUACCUUGCAGCGGCGUCAGAGUGUAAGCUAUCAUACAUAUUGGCCCUGUUUGGAUACUCUAACUUAGCUAGAGGUUAGAGUUAGUUUCUAGCUCGUGACUAACCCUAAACUAACUCUAACCAAAGAGGUGUUUUGAUGAGGGUUAGAUUGAUAAUAGAUGCACUUGAUUGAGAGAGAAAAGUGAUUUUUCAGUGGGCCCCAUGAGAUAUAGCUCCAAUUAACACAUCUUGGCUGAUGGGAUAGAGAGAGAAAAAUGAUUUUUUUAGUGGACCCCAUGAGAACUAGCUUCAAUUAGCAGCUCUUGGAUGGAAUAGUUUUUUGGAUGGGUUAGAUGCAACUAGCUCCAACUAAACCGUCAUGUUUGGAUACUUCAGGGCUAUUUGAGCCCCCAACUAGCUCAAACUAAUUCUAACCCAUGGAUCCAAACAGGAUCAUUGGUGUCAUCUUUUCGUGUAGACGAACACAUAACACUAUUAUUAUUGCGUGCAAACAGGUCGUCUGGAGGUUGGAAGCAGGCAUAGCGGUGGCCACACAAGCACUAGUAUAACUGCUCCCGUUUCGGCCAACUCAAUGGCGUUGGUAGACGAGAGCAAGAUUGUGGUGAAGUUCUGCACUCAGGUAUUCUGCGACAUUAAAGAUUUGCACAAGGGUGUCUGUUACUGCUGCGAGAAACCGGGCCGUCCGUGCUAUCAGACGCGUAGUGAGUGCCUUGACAAUUGCCCUCUUUGUAACCCCGAGUGCUCCCCGCCUUUAUUGUGAACAAACCAAACGACAGAUGGGUGAUGAACUCUUCUGAAGGUAUGGGGUGGUCCAAAAGAUGAUAUUAGUGCCAUGCACAAGGAAAAGAUGUCAUUAGUGCCACAUAAGAAAAUAUAUUAUUACUACAAUUUGAGUCAAAUGUUGUACCCCUUUUCAUUUUGAUAAUCCCAAGAUAUGAAAGAUAUCUAUAAUAUCAAUAGUUUGGUGAUGGAUUGGAAGCUUGUACUACAUGGACUGAUGCUCCAACUGAUACUUGUUCAACGACUUUACAUCUCCUCUCUUAAGAAGCGAGUGGUUACGACGGUCUUUAAAGCCUACUAUGACAAAGCUGUUUUCAUGUAUAUCCUUUACUGUUGGUUCAGUGCAAUUUCCAAUCUCUGCCUGGUGAUGCAAUGGAGCAAGAAGAAGGCUAAUAUAUUUUAUUUUUGUAUCGGUAGCUCAGUGCCAUUGUAUGUCUUUCUAAUGUACUCCAUACGUUUCAUAAUGUAGUGCGUAUAGAUUUUCUGAAAAUUAAAGCUUUGCAAACGUUGACCAAGUUUAUAGAGAACUAUUUACAUCUACAAUACCAAAUAUAUAAAAUAUGAAACCACAUCUUAUGAUGAAUCUAACUAUAUAAGUUUGGUAUUCUAGAUGUAGUUGUCUUUCUCCAAAAUCUAUAGGGUUUUUUCUUCAUUUGUUUAUUUUUUGUUCUUUUUAUUUUCCAGGUCUCGGGUUUUUUUCCAUAGGUUUUGCAAUAUAUGGUGAUCUCUUUUCAAAUGCACACCGACCUUUUUUAGUAUACAGUGAAUUUUCAAAUGCACACUGAAUAUUUUAACUUACUGAACAUUCUUUUUCAAAAUGCACACUAAAUGUUUUUUUACGUAUGAUGAACAUUUUUUCUAUAUACAUUGAAUAUUUUCUUAAUAUGUGAUGAACAUUGUUUUAAUACACACCAAAUAUUAUUUUAAUAUACACUAACAAAAUUAUAAAUCAUAUACUGAAAUAAUUCAGAAAAUAUAAUUUUGUAAUUUUCAAUAUUUCAAGAAUCUAAAAAAUAAUACUUAGUUUUUUAUAGUGAAACCCAGAUUAAAAGUCCUAAGAGGGGAAACUAUAAAAAACGACUUCCUGGCAAAGUGUGCCAGCCCAUUCGCAUAGGCUUCAGCUUAUUUUCUAGAUUGUAGUGAUGUACUGUGGUAAAUUCGUUAUAUGGUAGCAAAAUGGUUUUUGAUUUCCCAAAAAAAAUCAGAAUUAUAUAAAAUCGAUUUUCAGAAAAAUAGAAUUUCCAACAAUGUUCAUAAAUUUAAAACUAUGUUAACAUUUAAAACCAAUUUAUGAACAUUUUCAAAUAUGUGAGUUAGUUUAUAAAUUCGUUAAUCUUUUUCAAAAUGUAAACUUUUCAAGUUCAUAAACGAAAGGUGAAAAUCCUGGAUAAAAUUUGAAAACGCUAACAUUUUUUAGUGAGUGAAAAAGUGCAAUGAACAUUUUUGUAAAACAUGGUGGAUAUUUUUGGAAUACAUAUUUAAUAUUUUUAAUAUAUAGUAUGAACAUUUUGUAAAUACAUAUUGCACGUUUUUAUAUUAUAGGAUGAAUAUUUUUUUAGUACACAAUCAACCUUUUUUAAGUACAUAUGGAACAUACUUAUAAUAUAGGAUGAACAAUUUUAUAAUAAUCAAUUUAUUAGGAUGGAUAUUCUAAGAAAAUAAUUAAUUUUUAUAAUAUUUUUUGAAACUUUUGAAAUAAAAAGGGAAGAAAAUAAAAAUGAAAAAGGGCCAAUUACAGAAAGUGGAAGCAAAGUAAAAAAAACAAAAGGGAAAAGGUAAAACAGAAACAAUGGGCCAGCCCACUAUGAGGAACCUUUAGCGAAGGCUCCUCUAUUUGCUACACAUGGGCGGCAAAUAUUUGGUUCUAGCGUUCAGCCCACUAAUAUAGUUUUUAUCUCUUUUUUUUGCGGAAGUCAUAGGUUUUUAUUCCAAUAUAACAGAAUUACAAUCCUUAGCAACGAGAUCACUCGCGAAAGGAGGAGAAUGGCCCAGCCAACAAGCUGUACUAUCCCCACAUCGUCCAUAGUUUGCUAAAUAGUCUGCAACUCUAUUUUGAUCGCGGGAAACUUUUACAGGAAUAAAAACCCUAUCACUUAGAAGGAACUUUAUCUCUUUGAUCAUAUGACCAUAAGUUGAGUUAUCCAACGAUGUAUCCGUUAGCGCGUUGAUAGCCGCAGCACAAUCCGAAUGAAUCAUAAUAGUAGCGUCGGAAUGCUCAGUGGUAAGCUUAAUACCCUCCAGAACAUCAUGUAUCUCUGCUUCAAGCACAUCAUUGCAAUGGAACAGCUUUCGAUAAGCAGUAAAUAUCACCUCACCCGUCUUCGUCCUCAGAACCAUCCUCGAGCCAGCUGAUCCAUUUGUCAUGCAGCAAGAACCAUCCACUCACAGUUCCACUGAUACGUAUCAAACGUAUCUAUAAUUUUUUAUGGUUUCACGUUGUUAUCUUGUCAACUUUGGAUGUUUUGUUUACCUUUUAUAUCUUUUUUGGGACUAACUUAUUAAUCCAGUGCCAAGUGCCAGUUCCUGUUUUUCUGUGUUUUUGACUCUUUUCAGAUCUGAUUUUGGAACGGAGUCCAAACGGAAUAAAAUCCCCGAAAUAAAUUUUUCCAGAACGGAAGAAGAUCGGGGGCUUGAGGGCCAAGGCAGGGGGCCCCCCUGGGAGCCCACAAGCCCUGUUGUCGUGGCAGGGGGGCCCGCGGCAACCAGGCUUGUGGCCUCCCUGGCGCUCCCCUGCCCUAGCUCUUUGGCCUAUAAAUUCCCUAAAAAUCCAGAAAAAAUGAGGGCAUCCACGAAAACACUUUUCCGCCGCCGCAAGCUUCCAUUUCCGCGAGAUCUCAUCUAGAGACCCUUCACGGUGCCCUGCCGGAGGGGACUUUGGAGUUGGAGGGCUUCUACAUCAACAUCAUCGCCUCUCCAAUGACUCGUGAGUAGUUCACUUCAGACCUACGGGUCCGUAGUUAGUAGCUAGAUGGCUUCUUCUCUCUCUUGGAUAUUCAAUACAAAGUUCUCCAUGAUCUUCAUGGAGAUCUAUCCGAUGUAAUCCUCUUUGGCGGUGUGUCUCGAUGAAUUGUGGAUUUGUGAUCAGAUUAUCUAUGAAUUAUAUUUGAGUCUUUGCUGAUUUCUUAUAUGCAUGAUUUGAUAUCCUUGUAAGUCUCUCUGAGUCUUGGGUUUUGUUUGGCCAACUAGAUCUAUGAUUCUUGCAAUGGGAGAAGUGCUUGGUUUUGGGUUCAUACCGUGUGGUGACCUUUCCUAGUGACAGAAGGGGCAACAAGGCACACAUCGUGUUGUUGCCAUCAAGGGUAACAAGAUGGGCUUUUAUCGUAGAUAUGAGAUUGUCCAUGUACAUCAUGUCAUCUUGCUUAAGGCGUUACUCUGUUCUUUUGGACUUAAUACACUAGUUACAUGCUGGAUAGCGGUCGACAUGUGGAGUAAUAGUAGUAGAUGCAGAAAGUAUCGGUCUACUUGUUUUGGACGUGAUGCCUAUAGAUAUAAUCAUUGCCUUAGAUAACGUCACGACUUUGCGCGGUUAUAUCAACUGCUCGACAGUAAUUCGUUCACCCACCGUCUACUUGCUUUCAUGAGAGAAGCCAUUAGUGAACACUACGGCCCCCGGGUCUAUUCACAACUAUUGUUUCCGCUUUCACUUUUACUUUGCUUUGUUUUCUGUGUUGCUUUCAGUUCUCACUUUGAAAACAAUCUAUAAGGGAUUGACAACCCCUUCAUAGCGUUGGGUGCAAGCUUUUUGUGUUUGUGCAGGUACUUGUGACUUGACGCAAUCCUUUCUCUGGUUCGAUACCUUGGUUCUCAAAACUGAGGGAAAUACUUGUCGCCGCUGUGCUACAUCACCCUUUCCGCUUCGAGGGAACACCAACGCAAGGCUCCAAGGCCACAGGGGAAUCCUUUGCAUAUUUUCCAAGGAAGUCCCUAAAGGCGUAGCCGUAGCAGAAGGAUUUCUGGCGCCGUUGCUGAGGAGUAUCAGGACAAGAAUAGUCUCCCGUCAACACGCUUGUUUCUGGCACCGUUGGAAGAUCUUUUGUUGCAGUAGCAGCCACCAUUCCAUCCGGAGGAGGGGGCCAAGGUAAACGUGAUGCAGGUUUAACGGGGACACGGAUUGGAUCCUGAACCACCGGAGUUUUUCCUUUAAUAAUCUCCUCCACACUGCUUGAAAUCUGGGAGUAGGUGUUGUAGUAACUUUGCAUGAAAGAGCAUGAGACAUCUUGCGGGGAAGGAUCCUUUCCAUGAAGCACUUCAUUUCUAACAUACCAGGAACGCCAGAGGACCAUGAUGAUUCUGCUGCGGAUGGAAGCAUGUGAUUCUUCUAGGAGCUGGAGUAGCCAUUCAUUACAUGUCCAUUUGAUCAGAGAUCUGUCCAGCAGAGGCCAAUGGUGUCGCAUCACGUCCCACAAGGAGGCACCGCUCGGGCAAGCGACAAGAGCAUGAAAUGAUGAUUCUUGUUCCCUAUCACACAGUCGACAGAAGCCAUUAAGAUCAAAGUGCCGUCUCUUCUUCUCAGCGUCUGUAGGAAGGGAACCCGAGACAACUUGCCAAGCAAAGUUCUUUAGUUUUGGGGGGACCUCCGCACUUCACACUAGCCUCCAAAGUGGUCUGUCACCAGCUGGGUUAGCACUUGUUGAGCUUGGACAAAACUGAUCAUAGUGAUCAGCCAUCGCAACAUGGUAUGCACUCUUCACCGUCAACACCCCUGAUCUCUCCCAUGGCCAUGAUAUGAAAUCCUCCCGCAUUCUCGGAGAAGUUCUUAUUUUUAAGAUGUACUCCACAUCCGGGUGCCAGAAGUAUUGUUGGAGCAAUUCCACCUUCCAAAAACCAUGAUCAUUCAGGAAGUCGCUAACUCUGUUCAAUCGACAGUUCCUCUUUGGUGUGAUCGGUGUAAACGGCGGGCCCUUGGGGAUCCAAGGAUCUCUCCAUACCCUGAUGUUUGUGCCAUUGCCCACCCUCCACAACAUCCCCUUCUUUACAAGUUCGAGCCCAUGUUCAAUACCUCUCCAAACUGCCGAUGCAUUCCCACUAAAAACCGUGUCAACCAAAUUCCCAGUUGGGUAGUAUUUAGCACGAAGGAGCGUUGCACACAGGGAGGUUGGUGUCAUCAGUAAACGCCACACCUGCUUGGCUAAUAGAGCUUGGUUAUAAGCCCUCAUGUCACGAAACCCAAGUCCUCCUUGAGAUUUUGGUAAGAUUAACUUAUGCCAAGCCGACCAUGCCAUUUUCCGACGGCCAUUCUCCACCCCCCACCAAUAUUGACGCAUCAUUUUGGUGAGAUCAUCACAUACCGAGAAAGGAACUUUGAAGAUACUAAUAACAUAAACUGGAAUAGCUUGCGCCACUGCCUUGAUCAAGACUUCUUUACUGGCUUGCGAUACAUACCUUUCACUCCAUUCAAUUAGUCGUUUGAUUAGGCUUGCUUGUAGGGAUUCAAACCUACCUUUAUGCAUAUGCCCAUCCGGAACCGGAAGACCCAGGUAUUUAGCUUCGAACUCCUGUUGGGUUACUUGCAGAAUACCUUUAAUCUCAUCGACAACCAGCGAUGAGCAACUAUCUUUGAACAGAAUCGAGCACUUGGAAGGGUUAAUAAGUUGACCCGUUGCUGAUGCAUAGGUACUUAACACAUCCUUGAUGAUCAAUGCUUGAUCCGCUGAAGCACGAAAGAAGAGAAGAGAGUCAUCCGCGAACAGUAACUGUGAUAUAGCUGGGGCACCCCGGCAUAUUUUCAGCGCUUCAAGCCCUCUUUCCGAAACAGCCUCAUGCAUGAGAGCAGAUAAUGCGUCAGCGACGAAGAGAAACAAAAAUGGGGAAAGUGGAUCACCUUGCCGAAGACCUCGGGAGGGAGAAAACUGGUUCAGAGAUUUCCCAUUGAACUUUACUGAGAAUUUGACCGAGCGCACCGUCGCCAUGAUCCGGGUAACCCAUUGACUUGCAAAACCCCACUUCAAUAAGGCAUGUUCCAGGAAAUCCCAAUCGACACGAUCAUAUGCUUUGGAUAAAUCCAGCUUGUAGGCGCAAAAUUCAUUCCUUGCAGACCCUGUUUGAAGAUGGUGCAAACUUUCGAAGGCAAUGACAGAGUUGUCGGAGAUCAAUCUACCAGGGAUGAAGGCACUUUGAUUUACAUAAAUAAGAUCAGCUAAACAAGGCCGCAAACGAUUCACCAUGCACUUGGACACCACCUUAUAUAUGACAUUGCACAAAGAUAUAGGACGAAAUUACUUCAGGGAGGGAGGGUGCUGGACCUUAGGUAUUAGAAUAAUGGAAGUUUCAUUAACACCCUCCCGCAUUACCCCCGACGAAAAGAAGGAUCGUACCGCCUUAACAAUGUCCUCCUUCAUCACCCCCAGUUCCGCUGAUAAAAUCUCACAGGGAACCCAUGUGGCCCUGGGGCUUUCAUUGGUCCAAUCUGAAAGACUGGAUCCGAGAUUUCCUUCUUUGAAUAGGGGGCUAGUAGUUUGCCAUUCAUCUCAUCCGUAACCUUAGGCAGGAUUUUGUUUAACAUGACAUCCGGCACCAGCGUAGGGUCCUUGGUAUACACCUCCUUAAAGUAAGAGGCGGCCAUCCGUUCCAUCUCCGAUGGAACAACACACCAAGAUCCAUCAUCCUUUUGAAGCAUCCGGAUAUUAUUCCUCCUUGCCCGACACACAGCUUGGCGAUGAAAGUAUUUGGUGUUGCGGUCGCCUUCCUUCAACCAGGUUAUGCGGCUACGUUGGAGCCACAUCAUCUCCUCUCUAUAUAGCAAUUCAUCUAGUUCUUCCAUUUUCUGCUUCACUUGCAAUCUGUCAGCAUUAUUAAGCUGUAAUGAUUCUAGCUCUAUGCGAAGACUAGUGAUCUGUUUCUCCACAUGACCAAAAUUUUCUCUACUCCACUUACGGAGAUCAGACAUGACCGAUUUCAGAGAGGCUGCCACAUUCCCAAGAUCACCAGAUGGUUUUACUUUGGCCCAUGCCGCCACGAUAACCUGGGAUAGACGACAGUCCCGUUCCCACAUGAUUUCGUACUUUGGAUUCCCUUUUUGGCGUUCGUCAAUUACCUCAUCCAGAUGCAGGAAUAGGGGGCAAUGAUCUGACCUUGGGGAAGUCAAGUGGUGCACUUUAGCAUAAGGGAACAAUUCUCUCCAUUCGUCUGAAGCACAUACCCUAUCCAAGCGGACACGAAUAUUACCAAGCCCAGUCGUCCAUUAUCGUAUGUAUAAGGCACUCCAGAGAACCCCAGAUCCAUCAGCUCACAUAGUUCUAGGGUAUCUCGGAAGGCUUCCAUCUGAUUUUCACGUCUAGCCGUCCUGGAGAAGUGCUCAUGUUGCCAAAGGGCCUCGUUAAAAUCCCCACCCACCAUCCAGGGCAAACUAGAGACACCCCUUAGUCUGACCAGGUGAUCCCACAUGCUUUGACGGUUCUCCACAUGGGGCUCCCCAUAGAUAAAGGUUGAUCGCCGUUGUUUCCCCGACCCUUGAUCACUGACAACAACAUCAAUAUAACGCUGACACGAGUCCAACACUGUAACUUGAUAGGAUUCAUCCCAGAAUAAAGCCAAGCCACCACUAUGGCCAAUACAAUCAACACCACUAAAACCCUUCAGGCCUAACCUCCGACGAAGACUUGCAAUUUUUGCACAGGUUUUUCUUGUUUCAGCAAGGAAGACAAAACUUGGGGAGUGGGCUUUUACAAGAGCCACAACUUCACGAACUGUCCGGCGGUUCCCCGCCCCCCGGCAGUUCCAAAUUAAUUGACUCAUUGGGACUGGCAGCGCUCCACCUGGGAGCCCGCCGAGAGGUUAUCCGAAUCCGUUUGAGCAUCAUCCUUCUUUGCGCGUUUACUCUCUGAACUAGUAGUUGGGGAUUCAAGGUUAGAUGUAUCCUUCCCAUCUGUAAUCAACAGGGGUACCGCAACCUGACCAAGAUCAGCCGCUUCGUCAUGUUCCGCCAGUAGCCGCUUGCGUGCCGAUUUGUCUACCUCCAUUGCCAAUGGGAGGCUCUUCUUGAAUGGGCUAGAAGCUGUGUCCUCCAGCUCCUUCUCAAGGGACGACACCCCUUUGCUUACCGACACUUUGGGAGCAGGGGGAUUCGAUGCAAUUUUGUCUGAACGGGCUGGCUCCGAUUCUGCCUUGAACUUCCCCGGGGGGUCAGCGUAUAGGUAGUCACCAAACUUGAGAUCCCGGUCUUCAUGCACACCAUUACCGCAUUCUUUAUGAUCAUGACCGAUAAUACCACAAGCUUUGCAAAACCGUGCUAAUUUAUCGUAUCUGACGGCGUAUACUGUCCUCACCUUUCCUUUAACAAUGCUAACAAACUUUGUGAGGGGUCUCCUGACAUCAUGCUUCACCCGGACUCGGAUGUAAUCACCUCUAGAAUUCCCAGCAAUUCUUGUUUCCACGAUUUUCCCUAAAGAUCUCAGCAGUUUUUCAACAACAUCCGCUCUACAAUAACCAUCUGACAACUUAUGGAUCUGGAGCCAUAUGGGCAUAUGCACCAUAGGAACAUAUGUUGCCUCAGAGUAGCCAUCAUAAGGAGCAAAGACCACUGCCAUAUUGCGGAACAACCACGGACCUUGGGUCAUGAUCCGAUCCCAGUCACGAAGGCAAUGAGCGUGGAUCACAAAUAGGUUGGCACCGAUGGGGCGGAAUCUGACGGGUUUAGCCGUGUUCCAAGCAGCCCUCAUAUCCUUGAAAAAAGUCAGCCUGAAUAAAAUUCUUAUUAGUCUGAACCCUAGCUAGGGCAAGCCAUGGAAUUUCAUCUGCUAGCUCCGGAGCUUCCUCUUCAACGAUCACAUCAUCGAACUCCUCUUCAUGGAGAUCUAGUUUCUCGAAAAAGUCACCGAGUUCCUCAUCUUGUUUCCCUUGGGAUCCCAGGUUCGUCGAUGAGGACGCAUCAGGUGUCGUCGCCAUGGGCGCAGCAAUGGAGAAAAACAACGCCAGGAGCGCAGAGGCGCCUAGGGCGGAGGGGAGUAAGCGGCCAGGACUAGGGCAGGGCGCAGGCGGUAGACCUACAACGAACCCGGGCUUAAUAUAGUUUUUAUCUAGUUUAAUCUAUCCGGUGAACUAUGAGCUAUGCAUGCCUGACACGAACUAUCUUUUUGGGUCUGACCGUGCUAUAUAUUUCUUGUUCAAUAUAUUGCCAUGUUAGUUUAAGUUUGCAUGCUUCCUAUGAAUUUGGUUGCAUGUAUAUGGAGACUGCGGUUGUGAGCAGGAGAUUGUGCGGUCACUGGCCACCGAGUCUUAUACUUCCUCCGUUCCUAAAUAUAAGACCUUUUAGAUAUUGCACUAUGAAUUACAUAUGGAUGUACAUAGACAUAUUUUAGAAUGUAGAUUCACUUAUUUUAUUCUGUAUGUAGUCUCCUAGUGUAAUCUCUAAAAGGUCUUAUAUUUUGAAACGAAUGGGAGUAGGAGCUAACUUUUCGCACUGUGCUGAUUGUUUUUAUUUUUUUGGUUGUGGGCUUUGUCCAAUCUUGGCUCCGCCACCGCGUUGUUUUUUUCUCUUUUUGCAAGAAGCCACCGCGUUGUUUUUUCUCUUUUUGCGGGAAGCCACCGCGUUGUUUUUUUUCUUUUUGCGGAAAGCCACCGCGUAGUUAUGGAUUGUGGUGUAUUCUCUUCCUUGGUAGACUGCUCCUAUUUGGGGUGGGGUGGGGGGGGGGGGCUACUGCUAUUCCUUUCUCUCCAAGGCAUACCAAUGCAUUGGUGUUUUGGUGAGGUGCUGAGUGCAUUGAAAACCUUAAGAACAAAUCCUCAUAUGCCUUCUGAUGUAUUUUCAUAGGCUAAUUAAUACAUAAUCUCACCAAUUUUUACCACGCACCGUAAUUAUGUGUAUUAUAUAAUGUGUACCUUACUACUUAGUAUUGUAUUUAAUUCAUUCCCCGCGAAAGAAAUGUAUUGAACUCAUACCACACAAAUCUUUCGCAUUUCCUUUCUUGGGUUGAGUAUGCCAAAGUUGAAUCCAUUUUAUAUAUGGGUGUCAUAUAAUUGAGGUAAUAUAGACUCCACAUGAGGUGUGUCAUGGCAAUCUUGUUCCUCGUCGCACACCUUGCACCCAUGACGACAAAGUGUAAGCCAUUGUACAUUUUUUAUAGUUUGUUUUGUUGCGUGUACAUCUAUGAUUCUAUUGUCCACACCGACUCCUAAUGUAUGCAACAGGUCGUCUAGAGGCUGGACAAUCUCUUUUUAGCAACAAUAUUAGCAAUCUUGUGUUCUUGAUACCUUUGUUGAGACCUCAUAUCAAGCUCGUAAGCGUCGACUACCGCUGCAACACUCACACACAUGCUCUCAUGGGUCGGCCCACUCUUGUUAUGCUCGUGUGUUUUUUCAUCUCUCUAGCAAACAACAAAUGCUGCUUUCGAAAAAACAAUUGUUGAUAUUCUGAUAUAAUUUGAAAGAUGUAUAAAAUCAAAUAUGGUCACAAAGACUACAAAAUAUAUGAAUUUAAAUAGUAUUCAUGACUGAAAAAAAAUAUUCAUGAAUUUGAAAGUUUAAAAUCAAGAAAUUUUAAAUCUUAAAAGUUUUCACAAACUAAAAGAAAUCAUAGCUUGUAAACGAUAAAUUGUGAAGAAACGAGAAACUAAAAAUAUGACAGAAAGGGAAAUAAGCAAAACUGACAGUGAUAUAAGGUGAAGCGACAGAUGAAGAACACGAAGAGAAAUUUUAUUAGAAAAAAAAGGAGCAGAUAGAUACUAGAAUAUUCCCACAAGCGGGAUAGCUCUUAUAUGGCCUGCUAUAUGGCGCCGCACAUUUUUUCCAUAAAUGAACGAUCCAACGAAUGUACAGGCAGCACUGUGCCGCACAGGGGGCGCCCCGACUGGGCCGACUGUUAUGUUUCUUCUGAGUCUUUUACUUUUUUCCUGUUUCUUUCCUUUUUCAUUUUAUUUUUUACUUAAAUAAAAAACAUUCUCCGAAUUUGAACAACAAUUUGGAAAAUCAUGAAACAAUUUGGAAGCGUGAACAAUUUUUGAAAGUAUGAAAAUUAUUUUAAUCUUGAGAACAAAAUUUUAAAAAGGAGAACAAUUUUGAAAAACUCUGAACAAAUUUGAAAACGUGAAAUUAUUUAAGCACGAAUAUUUUUUGAAAUUUUGAAACCGAGACUUUUUGAAAAAAAAAGUGAACAAAUUUGGAAGCAUGCACAAUUUUUUAAAGCACGAACAUUUUUUUAAUCUUUAGAGCAAAAUUUGGAAAAGGAGAACAAUUUUGAAAAACCCUGAUCAUUUUUUGCAUUUUGACAACAAAUUUUAAAACGAUAACAAUUUAUAAAAAACGUGAAAAACUUUGUAAGUGCGAUCAAAUUUUUAAAUACACGAACAUUUCUUGAAUCUUGAGUACAAAAUUUUGAAAAGAAGAGCAUUUUGGAAAACCGCAAAACGAUUGGAAAGGGCGAACAUUUUCCUAAAGAACGAAUAUUUUUUGAAUUUUCAGAAUAAAUUUUGAAACAUGGAACAAUUUAAAAAAACGUGAAAGAAUUUGGAAGCGCGAAUAAUUUUUUAAAUACAAAAAUAUUUUAAAAACAAAAACAAUUUCUUAAUGUACAAACAAAUUUGAAAAUAGGAGCAUUUGACAAAUCUGUAACAGUUUUUUUGUAAGAAAGUACAUUUUUUUAAAUUUGUGAACAAUUUUUGGAACGGUAACAUUUUUUGAACUUAUGUACACUUUCUAAAACAGGAUCAUUUUUGAACCUACAUACAUUUUUUGAUGCAGCAACUAUUUUUUGGGAAAUGGAGAAUAUUUUUUAAACUUCCCGAACAUUUUAAAAUCAUGAAUAAUUUUAGAAUUGGCAAACAAAAUUUGAACAAGUAUUCAAUUUGUUAACUAAUUUUUAAAAAAGAGAAACAUUUUCCGUAAAAUAUUAACAUUUUUUAUUCAAAAGUCAAAAGAAGAACAUUUUUGUAAAAAUUGUGAACAAUUUACGAAAAAGGAACAUUUUUUGAAAAACCAUGCAGUUUUUUGAAUACGAGAACAAUUUUAGAAACACGAAACUUUUUCAAAAGAUGAACAUAUUUUGGAAGCAGGAACAUAUUUUAAAGCACGGAUAUUUAAAUAUAAACUGUGAAUACAGGACCAAUUUUCGAAAUUCAAAAUGAAAAUGAUAAAAUGUUAAACAGAAAAAUAGGAAAAGGAAAAGGAACAAAAGAAGAGGAAAAUACUAAAAAGGAAAGAAUAACAUUUAACAAAAAUUGAAAACGGUUAUUUGCUAAAAAUCCCAAACAUUUAUUGAAGAUACGAAUAUUUUUGAAAAAUGGCAUAUAUUUGAAAUUUAGAACAUUUUUAUAAAAUCAAGAACAUUUUCUAAAUGACAAUAAAAUAUUAAAAACAUGCACUUUGGUUAGAAAAUAACCAUAGAAAAAAGAAAAAAAACUAAAAAUAGAAAAUGGAAAAAAUGAAACAGAAAAAAGGACAAAAAAUGAAGCAGAAACCGGAACUGGCUGCAGAGGGAGAUGGGCCCGCCCAGUUUGGUGCGCCCUAAUGCGAUUUCCAGACUAUUUGACGCACACAGCGUCAAAUAGAAUUUUUCUCGAGGCUUCGCACCAAAGAUGCAGCGAUCCUUCUAACUGUGCCGGCCCAAUGAAUGGGAAUCUUUUAUAGGUUAUAGCAAGUUUUUUCUAGUUUUCGAAAACUUCUAGAAGGUUCUCCGAAUCGGGUUUUCUCUUUUUAUUUUGGUUUUCCCAUUUUAUUUUAUGCUUCUGUUUCAAAAUAAGUUCUGAAUUUCAAACAAAUCUUGUGGAUUUUCAAUUUUUUUCCUUCAAAUUCAAUUUUCUUUUUUGCUUCUUCAAAAAAAAUCUAAAUUUCAAAUAGUUGCCGUUUACUAACAAUAUUCAUAACUUUGAAAAAUACUCGGUUUAAAAAAAAUAUGUUUGUUAUUUAAAGAAAAAUGUUCUUGCUUUCCAAAAAUGUUCCAAAUUUCGAACAAUUGCUGUUUUCAAACAUUGGUAAUAAAUUCAAAAAAUCUUCCUGAUUUUCAGAAAAAAACCAUAACUUCAAAAAGUGUUCACGAUUUUAAAAAGUGUUCUAUACUUUCGAAAAAUGUUUGAGAUUUAAAAAUAACAGUAAAAAAUGUUAUUGUUUCCUUUUUCAUUGUUUUAUUCAAUUUCUUAAUUCGCCUUUUUCCUAUAUUUCGUGUGACAUUUAAAAAAAAUGUAUUUAAAAUAUUUUCCCAUGUUUAAAAAUUUGUUCACUAUUUAUAUCUAAAUGUUCGUGCUUCAAAAAUUAAUCAGGAAUUCAUGAAUAAAUGUUUUCGUAAAUUUAUGAAAAAAUGUUCCUAUUUUACGAAAAAUGAUUCCCUCUUCUUCCAAAAUUGUUCACAAAUUGAAAACUUGUUCAAAUUUUGUUCAUCAAUUCUAAAAAUCUUCCUGAUUUGAAAAUGUUCGGGAUUUUUAAAACGUUCUUCAUUUUCUAAAAAAUGUUUGUCUUUUCAAAAAAAUAUACAUUAGUUCAAAAAAUGUUCCUUCAUAGAAAAUUGUGCAAUUUUUUUCAAAAAUGUCCGUAUUUCGAAAAAAUGAAGAACAAGAAAGAGACGAAAAGUUAAAUAAAAAUAAAUAAGAAAGACAAUAUAUAACAGCAAAUGAGAAAGAAAUGGAGGAAAAGAAUUGGAAAAAAAAUACACUGAAAAGAGAGACAAAAUAAAUAAAAAUGUAAAAGGAAAAAAGAAAAAACCCUGUAAAUACUAGUUUAAGAUCCUUGUAGAAGUACGCAAACCUGGUCAGGAACCUUCUAGAAGAUUCCCAAAACCGGACACUAUAGCUUCCGUGUUCUCUCGUAAUGAACUAGUAUUUGAACUUUUAAAUCCAUGAACUUUUUUUAAAUUCGUGAGCUUUUAGUUUUUGAAUCUUUAUAAGUUCAUGGACAUUUCAUUUUUGUGAAUUGUUUUUAAAAUUUAUGAACAUUUUGUGAAUCCGUGAACUUAUUCUGUUUGGCGAAAUGUUUAGAAUUGUGACCUUUUCCAAGUAUUGGAAUUUAUUAAAUUCGUGAAAUUUUGUCAAUUGGUGAACUUAAAAAAAACAAUCAUGUAGUUUUGUAAACUUUAAAAAACAAUCAUGAAUUUCUGAAUGUUUUUGAAUUGACAAAAUUCUUUUGAAAUCAAUGAUAUUUGGAAUACAUAUAUAUUUUCGAAUUUCUUGAACUCUUCUUGAACUAGUGAAUUUUUUGCAUGUUCAUGAUUGUUUUUAAAAAAAUAUGUGAACUUUUUUGGAACAGUCAACGGUUGAGUGAAAAUGUCAAGGAAGAUCUAUCCAAUUUUUUAAAAUUAUAUCAUGGACCUGAAAAACGUAUCUGAAUUGGCACUUCACUUUUUGUUGAGUAAUCCAAUGGCCUAAUGACACAUGCACAUCUUUUGGUGCUGAUAUGAUCCAUUGUUAUUUUCAAUAAGAUUGCCCGAUAAUCUUCCUUCUACUAUAUGACUUUCUAGUCGGCGAGGCGGAAGUCGUCGAGUUAACAAUCAAGGACUCAAUCAAGUAAACGGAUUAAAGCAAGAUCCCUCUUGCGAGCGAGCGAAUGAGCUAGCUGGGCCACCACCGCCCGCUAGGGCAUGCGUCGGCAUAAGUUACUUGUUCGAGCGCUCAAGGCGCUAAUUAGGAGGUACCUUGUGACGAGGAUGUGCAUUCUUUUACUGGAUGCACUAGGCUCUUGUACUCCUUCUGGCAUAUAUGUGUUGAAAAUAAAAGAGAUGGCAAUUAUUAUUUUUUUGGAAAUACUAUACAAACAUACACAAUUACAGACGGGAGGUUUUACUACCAUGUUCGAGGGGAAUUUCUUCUGUUUUUUAAGGUAAAAUUAUUCUUCUGCUGCUAGUGUGCUAUACUAGACGAUUGUUAUUUCAUGUCUAUCACUUUACUCAUGUCAUUUAUGAACAUUGCUACAGGGAGACCAAUCAUGCAUGGUAUACAUGAAUUGGCUAGGUUGGGUAAAGAAAUCUGCUCCUAAUCUCUUGUCAGAUUCUGCUCCGAGCGAGAUUAUUCCCUUGCUUGUAACUGAUGUGACAAUUGUUAUGAAUGGAUAAAUGAGGUGAAAGUUAAAAAAAAAAAGUCACAGACUCGAGUAGACACAUGUACAUUUGAUCUGAUCUAUCAACGCACACAUCAAUUUCGAGAGAGUUCGGUUAGAGCAUCUAUAACUCGACCCCUCAUAUCUAUCUCAAAUGUCUGGACAGACCGUUCGGUUAGUGAUCGGACACAAAAACGUGCAAAUGAUCAAACAUAUGAGAAAAAAAUAUGAUCAAUACAGCUACGCGGAUGAAAAAAUAAGACCUCAAAACAAAUAUAACCGACGAAUGACCGCGAAUGUUUAAAGGGCCAGAUUUGCUAAAUCCGACUAUAGAUGCUCUUAUAAAUCUUGAAAUUUACUCGAGUCAUCACAAGCGUCCCAUAACCGACGAAACGUCACCUCCUAGACGUCGGUAAACCCAAGAUGAAAGAGAUGGAAGCAGUUAAGUGAACUAUAGCCAGUACGGUUAUGUGGAAGAGUAGUUGCCAACUUGCCAUAUAUACUGUAAGACGAAUCACACGACUUUUCUAGCUAGCUAGAGUUAAGCGACGUACGUACGGCCGGCUGGCUAGAGACAGCGAUCUGCUCUUUUGCUGACUCUACGAUGCAAGCAAGAGGCGUGUGGGCCAAUCCUUAUGCAUAUUGCAUGCAUGGCUAGAGCUGGGCAUGGCCAUGGAAGGCCCUUUGGUGAGGCUCAAAUGGCGCCUUUCGUUCGUCUCCCUCGCACAGCCAGUGAAGCCACACCCACAUGCAGGAGGACGGGGGAGGAGACAUGAAACACUGGCCUGAGAUGACAGGCGACGAGGCUCAUGCCGCUGCCCAUCGUUUUCCUCCGACGGUCUCGGUCGUCGUCUUCCCUGGUUGGUUUUGGCAGCGACCUGCAGGCCCACAUGCGCCUAUCUGUGUGGGGGUGUGUAUAUACUGUGUCGCCAUCAGACAUGGCUACCGUGCGUGCAACUAGUAUGGUUAACUAAUGCCAACUUGUCUGGAGAGGCAAAGGAGUUUUCAUAAUUAUGAAGGAAAACUACGUGCGUGCGCGCGACCCAAUCGUCUUUUUUUUCGGUUGUGCUAUUUGUCGGGGACCUAAAAUCGUGAUUUCUCAUCAGUCCAUUAACAAGUGGUGUGGGGGUUUGGAGGAUGGUGUGGCCAUAACACAUUGAGGGUUCGUUCGGUUAAUCCCAGCAAAGAGGGGAUUGGAGAGGAUUGAAGGGGAUUGAGGUGAAAUUUAACUUAUAGAGAAUUUAAUCCCUUUCAAUCUACUCCAAACCCCUUCAAAUUUCAAACAACCAAACAAGGCCUGACAGAGAUUGCGGCUCGAGGAGGACGGCGCGGUAGAUUGCCUGACUACAGGUCGCACGUGCAUGGCAUGCAUCGCAUCGGAGGUGCGAUGGAUUGCCUGACUACACUACACGUCGCAUGCCGGCCCCUGAUUGUACGUCUCUACCCCAUACCGUCAAGCCUUCACUUGCAAAGUUGCAAAGCAGACACAUCAUAUCAUUAGGCAGCCAGCUAGCUAGCUACUCCCUCCAUUUCAAAAUAAUUGUCUUGAUUUUACACUUGUUUUAAUAUAAAAUUAUACUAAACUUAAAACAUUUUUCUAAGACAGAGAUAAUAUUUUAAUAGUUCUUUUUUCUUUUAAUAAAGGAUUUAGCCAGCGAUCUUAGUGCUUUAGAGGAAUUGCAAGGUUAUAAUUUUUAACGACUUUUACCACCUGGAUUGUUUGAUCUGUAAGAUUACAAACCAUAAAUUCUCUUAGGAUUUAAUUACAGUAGGUUUAUAAAAAAAUCCCCAUCCACUCCAACAUUUAAUAAAAAUCAUAGUACCAAUUUGUGUGUGCAUGAUUAGACACCCACACAACCAUAUACUUUCCCGUUUUUAAAUAUAAGUCUUUCUAAAGAUUUCAUAGCGAUUACAUACAAAGCAAAAUGAUUGAAUUUAUAUUUUUAAAAUAUAUUUAUAUACAUUCAUAUGUAAUUCGUUAGUAAAACCUUUAAAAAGAUUUAUAUUUAAAAACAGAGGGAGUAGUUUCAGGAUGAUGUGUCGUUCUAUUCCUACAGGUUUCCCUAUAUAUUAUUCUCACGUUUUAGGAAUUCUGUAAACAAAAAGGCUCAUAGAUUUUUUUCUUCUUCUUUUUUUCUCUUCUGUAAACUAGCUACCAGAGGAGGGGUCAAGCCGACAUGGGAUUUAUCUAUCUUAUCUUGUCUCUUCAUGCCUGCCUGCCUCCCAUGAGCUAGUUCUCCAUUCAGCAAAAUGAAAAUAGAAGAGAGCCAGGUCCAGAUGACCAUCUCGCGUUUUGAAUCCGUGCGUGCUGAGAACGAUCUGCAUGGUACGUAGCUGUCUUCCCUGACAUGGGAAAGAUGGUUUCUGAAGGGCGGCAGAAGAGAAAAUGUAGCGGUUAGUAGGUGCCCAUCGAUCCAUCCGUUUAGCAACACGUGUGGCCCGCGUGAAACAUGGGAACAAGGACCAGCAUCCGCCACGUACCGCGCAACUGCCCUUUGCGUAGGCCUACGUACUACCACUAUUUCUAUUCGGCCUGCUUAUUAGCUUUAGCUUUGUACUAGCAGGCUCAUCAGGAUUUAAGUCCUAAGAGCAUCUCUAGUGGAUGUUGUAUAUUUAAACCUGUAUAUCUUCAUAUACACGUCCAUAUACACGGCGUGGAAAUUAUACACGUCUAGUUUUUCAGUGGAACGUGUAUAUUCCCCUCAUUCUUUCCCCCUCUGCAAGAUAAGAGAUUCAGUAGUGCACACAGGUCCAGAGAACAAGACAGGGAAGCUUCACCGCAUUGCAGCCGUCUCCCUCGUCGCCGGCAGCCUUUCCCGUGGCAUCCAAGAUGUCCAUGGACUCGAGGGUGCCUCCCUCGUUCCAUUCCCAUCGCUAGGGUGACCGGUGGGCCACCACAGCGACGGCCCCAACCUCGCCUUCGAUGAGUACCCGAAGCCUUGCAGGCCGAACUGGGGGUGAGGACGGCGCGGCCGGGCCGCAGGCGGCGUGAGCGGGACGAGCGGGCGUCCGGGCACAGGGAGCCCCGGCCUUGCUUCUCAGGGAGGAGGAGGCGGCGGCCGGAGGAAGGGGGAGGGGAGACCGGAGGCACCCCGCACCCCGCAGCGCCGCCGCGCCGCCGCGCCGCCCGCACAGCGCCNCCGCCGCCUCUGCCCCCAGAUCCCGUCCCCCGCCGCCUCUGCCCCCAGAUCCCGCACCGUCUCCGCCUUCCGAUCCGCCGCCGCCGAGCUCGGGCUCCCUGGACGCGAAGGCCGCGAGGAGGCGGGCGCCGGGGGAGGUCGAGAGGAGGGCCGGGGCGGGCACGCGCAGGAAGAGGAGGGAGCUCUGGGACGCGGGCGUGGGACGACGCGAGCUCACGAGCGUGGCUGGCUCGUGUUUAUUUCCACGCCUCCUACCGUCGUGGCCUGGGCGUGGAUGUUUACACGCCGUUUUACACGAGCCGCUGGGAGGUAAAAAACUGCUGGCAUGGUAUAUAUUUGCUAUACACGUCCAUAUAGAGGAUCCACUAGAGAUGCUCUAAUGUUUGUAUUAUUUUUAAAUUUGUUUCAGGAUUUUCGACGAUACGCUUUUGGUGGAAGGAGACGUUCUCGUCGACGACGAGACGUUUACGGUGAUUUUGUAAAUCUCAAAAUGACAUGCCGGCUCAGUCUCUCAGAGGUGUUCAUGGGGUGGGGUGUGGGUGUGAACAUUUAUAGAAAUGAGUGUAUGCGCGUGUAUAUGAAUGCUUGCUCUGUACUAUGUUCAAAAAAUAUUAUCUUUGUACUACGUUUAUACCGAAAUACUUGUAGCUGAAAAAACUAGUACUAGUUUCCAUAACUACAAGUAAUUUGGUACAGAAGGAGUACUAAAUAAGUCAAACUUUAUUAAAUUUGAUCAAUAUGACUCUGUACUAUGUAAAAAGAAUAUUAGCUUUGUACUAUGUUUAUACCGAAAUACUUGUAGCUGAGGAAACUAGUACUAGUUUCCAUAACUACAAGUAAUUUGGUACAGAAGGAGUACUAAAUAAGUCAAACUCUAUAAAAUUUGAUUAACAUGAACAUUUACAACAUCAGUUUUUUUUCCCGCAAAUACACAAAAAUUAUGUAUCAUUGCAUUACUAGAGGAGGUGAAAAAGUACAAGUACCGGUAACAAUAGUAGUGCGGGCUGAAAGAAUCGGAGCAGCUAGAGGGGAGGGUUGUUCGUCCCUAGCCCUAGUACAUCACAAAAACUCUACCUCUUGGGAGCAUGAUCGCCAAGCCAUUGGCGUCGACGCUAGCCUAGAGACGCAUGUCGUUUUGAAUGGAUUGUAUGAGCCUAGCUGUGGAAUGUUGAAGGUGAUCCAAGAUGCACCCGUUACAGUACUUUCAAAUUGCCCACACAAUGAAGGCGAUGAUGGAAUUGAGCUGCGUAGGGUGGCGGGCGAUGAUGACCACGCAAAGAUCCACCAUUCGACGAAUGGUGCGGUGUGUCCGGACUCGAGAUCGUGGUUGUCGAGCUAGCGGCACUAGGAUAAAACCUCGUGCCAGAUCCGGCACGAAAAGGGGCAUCCACCGAGGGGGUACGGUGGUGGAGAUAAAUACACUCAUGGUCACUGUAUUUGGGACGAAAGCACGAUAGGUCACUGAACAUUGGAAUACGCUCGUUACGGUCAUUGUAUACGAUGGGACGUGAAUGUACGGUCACUGUAGCACGUAUGCGGUGCGUACAGGCCUAGUUGACCACGUGCUGACCGAUCGUUGGGGACAGGUGGCGAUCCGCGGCGCGGCGGCAGUGGAAAUAUGCGAAUAGCCCCUCAGGCAUCACCUAAUCCCCAAUCAUCCCUCCUCCUCCUCCUCCUCCAGUCACGUCCCCUGUUCGUCUUCGCCCAGAGAAAGGGGAGUCGCCGCCCCGGCGAUCGUCGGCGGUAUAGUCAUGGCGAGGGGCUGAUUUCGUGCGUCGUCGACGAGGCACCGCUGCAGCACUCCUUCUUCCCGUUGGACCCGACGUCGAUGGCCCCUGUUCGUCGUCCAGAAGGGGCACCUCCCCCCGUGUACAGUAAGUCCUAUUUCCUCAAGAAUCCGAGCGUUUUGAUGUUCAAAACCAACCUUUUAGGGCCGCAUUGCCUUUGUAGAUGUGGUGUUGUUGUUAGUCAGGACCGAUUGUUCUAGGGUUUUGGUAUGGGAUUUGGGGGUAGGAGAAUUGGGGCUUAGGGUUUUAUCUCUUUUAAUAAAAUGUAUAUACAGCCGAUUCUGAUGCUUGCUGUCUAUGUGUUGGUGCAUCAGGUCGUAGAAGCAGAAAUUUCUCGGUUGAAAUUAAUCAUGGUGGAUUUUUUGUUGGGCAUGGGAGGAACCGUGCUUAUGUGAAUGGUCGAGCCAUCUGGUAUGAUAAUGUGGAGAAGGUAACCUGGUCACCAAUUCUCAUUGAAAGCCUAGUUGAGGAAAUAGGUUAUGAGAUGGCAGGGAGGCUCAAAGUAUUCUACUGUGUGCCCAUCCUUACACCCAGUACAAAUGGUCUAAGAGAACUUAGUGAUGAGGAGCAGACAGACAGAAUGAUGGUGUUUGUUGAUAUUGGGCACCAUUUCUUCAGUAUAUAUCUAGAUCAUGAUGACAGCUUGCAGGCAAAUUCAAAUGAAGAUGAUGUUGUGCACUAUCCAAGAGCACAUUUGCCUCCAGUUAUCAGCCCUGCAAAGAGGAUUCCCAGCAGUAGUGUUCAGUCUGAAACAGAGGAAGCAGAGGCAGGGGCAGAAAUAGAGCAAGCAAAGGCAGGGGCAGAAACAGAGCAAGCAGAUGUAGAGCCAGAGACAGGGGCACUAAUUCCUCUGCAGGUUAUAUUCCCUGAGCAAGAAACAGAGCAAGCAGAGGCAAAUACUGAAAUGCAAGCAGAGGAUGUUGGAGGCAGCACAUCUAUGAGGAGGAGUGCUAGGCAGAGCAAAUGCACUUAUGCAAUGGAAGAAGAGGAUGCAGGUACUGACACAGAUGAUGAGGAUUAUGACCCUGGUCUACUUGUGGACAGUGACAAUGAAAUAGGCAAUGAUGAUGAUGACUUGUAUGCAGAUAAUGUAGAUGAGGAUGAACCAGAACAGAGGCAGGAAAACAAAAGUAAUGAGAGAGCAAAGCAUAAAGAGGAAUUGAGGAGAGCUGAAGAGGUAGCAAGAAAGAAACAUGAGGUUACACAGAAGAAGGCUGAACUAGCAGAGAGAAGAAGAUUGGUUGCUGCAGAGACAACUGCCAAAAAGAAAGAAGAAGCAGAAAUCAACAAGAAAGCUCAAGCUGAGACAAGACAGAUUAUUCAAGACACAAUGAAAACAUUAGCUGCUGAGAAGAAGGCAAGGCAAGAAGCAGAGAGGAGAGCUGCUGCUCAAAAAAAGGAGGAAGAAAAGAGAGCACAGAGGGAAGCAGCUGCUGCAAAAAGAGAAGAAGAGAAGAGAAUUGCUGCUGCAAAAAGAGAAGAAGAGAAGAAGCUUGAUGCUGCCAGAAAAGAAGAGGAGAAGAAGCUUGCUGCUACCAGAAAAGAAGAGGAGAAGAAGCUUGCUGCUGCCAGAAAAGAAGAGGAGAAGAAGCUUGCCGCUUCAAAGAGAGAGGCUGACAAGAGGCUUGCUGCAGCACAGGAGAAGAUGAAGGCUGCUGCAAAAAAAGCAAGGGAGCAAAGCAUGGCUGCUACAAAAAGGAAACAAAGCUGGGUUGACAAUGAAGUUGCCUAUCCAAAGAAGGCUCCAAGAUCUUCAAUGUUUGAUGUCCUUAGAUAGUAUGAUGCAUAGUGACUGCAAUAUUCUCCUGUAAGAAACAUGGCUAUUUUCUUUUGUAUGUGGGUGAUGGGCAAGACUUAUUUGGUUGUGACAACAAGUUUUCAUGCAUUAUAUUUGGUUAGUUUGGCAUAUUUGUCAAGUUUGGAAAAGACUUACUUCUUAUUUGGUCAGUUUGGUCCUAUUUGUAGACAACACUGCCUUACAUUGUAAUAUACCCUUUCUAUAAGCAUAACAUGACACCAUUUGGAGGAACUUUGUACACAAAAUAAGUAAUCACAUAUUAAGAAGGAAUGACAUAAGAACAUCAUAUUGAUCAAAUAUAACAUAGGGUUCAGCAUAGCAUUGUCACUUCCACCAUUACAUGACACCAUGACAUGACACCAUUACAUGAAACAAACUACAUGACACCAAACUAGGACUGCCACCACUACUAACAUCACUGCAGUCUCCCAAAAUGAACCUGGCAUCACCAAUGCAGCUAAUCUUCAGUUCUUCACCAUGUAUAGCACCAAUGCACCAACACCUAACAUCAGCACAACAACAAGCAGGAUCUUCAUGAGCAUCACCAGCUCUCUCCCAAGCUUCAUCAGUGCAGCAGCUUGCUGCCUGGUCAUGACAUUGCCACUCUCUCUUCACAAACUUCUUAGACAUGCUGGUUGAUCCAUUCAUGUAAUGAAGCUCUUGUGCAUUCAGAAGUUGCUCCCUGCGUUCCUCAGCCGCACCAAUAGCACCCACAGCUGCAUCGCCAACCAGAUAGUGAUUGUCAACCAGGUACUGCACGUACUCCAAUUCCCAACGCCAGAACUCACAACUCACCUAUCCCAAAAAUACAUACCAAGGUAAAAAAAAGUUCAAUCUUUCCAUCCAAAACGGAAUAGAAUCCAUGGACAGGACAUAAAUCGAAGAGAUAAAUCCAUGGAAACACUAACCCCAUGAUUUUGGCACUUGUAGAAGACCCAUCCAUCGUGCUUCUCAGUGGUGGAGACAAACAUGCGCACUUUCUCCUUGCAGCCUGCGCAGCGGAUCAGCGGCAGCGCCAACGCCCGGCGGCGGACAGCAGAGGAUGACGAGCUCGUGAGAGACAUGACCGCCAGAGCUUGCGGGGGACAGCGCCAGAGCGACGGUGGUGGCCGAGCAGAGCGACGGAGACGGAGUAGAGCGACGGAGGGUUAGGGAUUUGAGGGGGACGCCGCGGGUUAGGGAUUUGAGGGAUUGGGGAUUUUGGUUCUUUUACAAAAAACCCCUUCAUGAAUCGUUGGCCGAAUGAGAGACCACUACGUGGCGGUCAACAAUAGGUCAAACUAGGCCUGUACGCACCGUAUACGUGCUACAGUGGUCGUAUAUUCACGUCCCAUCGUAUUCAGCGACCGUAACAAGCGUAUUCCAAUGUUCAAUGAUCGUAUCGUGCUUUCGUCCCAAAUACAAUGACCAUGAGUGUAUUUAUCUCACGGUGGUGCAUGUCCUUGAGGGCCUGGUCGUAGAGUGCGCAGAGGGCAUUGUGCCCAGUGAGACGAUCCGUUGUCCAACAUCAACCUUGCAAGAGGUAAGCCACGUGAAAACCAAGAUGUCAGUUUUUCAUGUGAGCUCUCACCCUGCGCCAAGCGUACAACCAUGAAAAAGGGGCAGGUAUAUAGCAAGUCCAUCUCCAGCGUUUGCUCAUCUGGUCCGGCCACCGGCCUCGAGGAAGGUGUGUUGUAGCCUACGCGGAAGCUCGACGCACUGUACAAGGGGCCUGCCGGACUGACUUACCCAAGCGUGUCCGAGCAAACGCUUGGCCACCAAGAAGAAGACAGGCGGCCCGAGCUCGGCGAUAAUUAGCAGAUUAUACAUGGUAUGAGAAUGUUCUUAGUGAUGAACCUGAUGGGAUUAAUUUAAUAAUGUUGAUGUUGAUAAUAUUUUCUAUUAACUCGAUCAAAAUUUACAAAGUGUGACUUCCAUCAAAACUAAUAUGUAGAAUAAAUAGAAACGACGAGGGUACAGUAUUGGCGUUGCUCAGUUUCAGAUCGACCUAAAGAAAACUGCACAUGCAGAGCUUGAUCUUCCCCAACUCCAACCCCAAUGGCACGGGGAUUGACAUAACUGAUCAUCUUCUUCAGAGUUCAUCUAAAAAUAAUUUAUAUCCAAAAUUGAUAUUGUAACAUGAUGACAGGAAAAGGCAAUACAAGGCACCGCACCGUAAAAUAAAAUAAAGGCCGUGUAUCUAUUUGGUUGUGCCUUUAUAUAUAAAAUUGAACAAAAGCCUGCUUUAAGAAAUAAAAUAAAGGCACCGCAUCGAUAAACGUGCGUGCGUGCAGCAAAGGUAGAUACUUUUUCUGUAUCUAAAUAAUUAUAGUUACAGAGAACUAGACUAACUCUUUUAAUUGGAACUAUAAUAAUUAUUUAGGAACGGAUGGAGUAGAUUAAUUACAGAAAGGUACACGUUACGUUGCAUAUCUCAUUGAGUGCAUGCGCUCCAUACAUGUACGCCUUAAACAUGCACCGAUACACACGGCAUUUGGCAGCUAGCUACUAUAACAGGUCAAGCCGGCAUGAGAUUUAUCUAUCUUAUCCUGCAACAUGUGCUAUGUCAGGAAAAUGAAGACAAAAAUAUGGACAUCAAUCUCUCCAUCAUCUCCAUGCGCCUGCCCCCUCCACGAGCGAGGUUCACAUUAUCAGCUUGUAUCUAGAUGCGUGCAUGGUGAGAUCGGCAGGUUCUUCCCACAAAUGGAAAAUGAAACUUCUGGAGUGAGGCAGAAGAGGGAAAGGUGGCGGUUGGUGCGUGCCUAUCGGUGGAUCCAACAUUUAACACCACGUUCACGUGUUGCCACAUGCCGUGCAGCAGAAGAACAUGAGCGGGGCAAUGGCUAUAUGUACCCCAGCUAUGCAUGCACCUGGCCGUGUUGUUUCUUUUCUGUUUAUAUAUAUAGCCUGACGGUUUUUCCAAAAUUUCCAAUAUGUUUUUUCAAAAAAAAAAACUCCGGCCUCUGCAUCUCCACGACGCAAACAAUCAAUUUAUUAGUUAUUCACUAGUAAAAAUGCACGUGCGUUACAACGGGAGAAUAAAAGGUACGAACAUCAGGCUUGGUGACAUAGAUAUUGUAGUGGUGCAAUACUUAUCUUGUAAUUUUCUAGCAUUAAAUCACUCUUUUUUCUUAAUUACAAUAUACUGUGAAUAAUAAUUGUUCUACUCCGUAGCUCACAAAUAAUUAGUUCAAAAAAAUUAGCCAUUAUUUAGUUCGGGAAAUCAGUCAAAAAGUUGAUAGUACUUCUAAAAUUAUUUAAUUAAACAAAAUUUGUGCCUUGGUUAAUAUGUUUUCUAUCAUAAAUUAUUUUACAGUGUAAGAUUAUUCAAACAACAAUAGAUGUCCCAGCCUUUUGUCAAUGCACGACAGAGUAGAGGUCAAGUACACAUUGAUAAAGAAUGGGAAUAUCAAUGUUAUGUAUGGCUGGAUGGAUAUUACCUACAAAAUAUUCAACAUAAAUAAGCAUAUCUUCUUUGCUCAAUGUAGGUUCACCAAUCAAACCUGAAGAAUUCCAUAAGAAAUCAAUCUUUGACUUCACAUGGAAUGGAACUUCAUAUGCACAUUAAUUACUGUAUAAAACUGCUAGAACAAACAUGUUCAACUGAUUUGUUUUCGGCACUGGAUAAACUCAUAAUCUUACUUAUAGACUGAAAUGUAUGAUGCUUAUAAAUCGAAACAUUUUUUACAGCAGAUAAAAAAGAAUGUGCACGGACUGCCAGUGGCAUAAAUAUAAUUGAUUGUUAUAUGAAUCAAUCAUGACCUAAGGAAGUGACACACAUAUGCAAGUAUCUAAUAAUAAAAAUCCAUAUGAAAGAUAACCUCUAUUGAUUCAAAUAUUGCCAGUUUCACUCCUUUGUUUCAAUAGCAACGGCCACUCAGUCUAUCACAUCCCUUUUGUCAUAGAUCAAUAGAAGGCAAAAUGGAUACACAUUUAUGUGGGCCUACUCCUAUCACAGUUUACAUAGUAAAAAACUGACAUUACAUAUGGCUACAUAAUGAGGUUCAUUUGCAUCAUCAUGUUCUUACAUUGAAAUAUGGUAGCAGAAAAUAGAAAGACUCCCAUUUGUUGUUUUCGCACAACGAAAAAUUCAGUGCAUAUACCUAUACUCAACACCAGCUAUCAUGGUCACCCUCAUCUUGAUUGAGUAUCGAUGAAGAGCAACACCAAGUUAAGUAAAACCAACAAACUUUGGUACUGUCUGUUGGCUUUCUAGCCACUAACUUCAGUCCUCGUCUGAACAUAUCUCAAUAUUCUAAACUUAAAAUCAACAGAUCUACAACAUGCAUGUUUGUGUAUAACCUAUCUGCAAGCAAUAUUUUUUUAAGGAUUACAUCAAGACUUAGGCUGACAUCAAGGCUGCAUCGUGUUCCUUCCAGAGCACAUCAUGUUGUUGGUCCAGGACACCAUCCACAACCACAAGGUCUCCAUGAGCUUUAGCAAUAUUGGCUAGUUCAUGAGCCAACCCAUUGUUUGUCCUUCUGAAAGUCCUGUUGUGAUAUGACUAAUUAAAACUCAGCACGGAUUUAAUGCCAAUAAUAAUUGGGUAGGACAAUGAUUUUCUUAUAGGAUCUCCUUUCCCGACUGGGCAGUCGAUCUCCAGCACCAGGGAGCCUAAAAUACGUUAAACAAUUCCUUCACUCCAACCAGAUUAUCGCUAGCUUUGUCCUCCUUGACAGUUCUGCAUGCUCACGGCAGCCUAUUAGCAAGCAAUUUUUGCAUCUCUGGUACUCCAUGCACAUAGUUAGCGUAAUCAUAGCAUUGUAGGCCAAAAAAGAAUCCAUAUGUAAUCUGAAUCUUCACUGAACUUUUCAGGUUUGAUCGUCCAGGAGCUCGUUCACACAAAUUUUGACAGCUCAAACUUUUACCCUUGACGGUCUACCAUCAUCCAUGGCAAAUCCAUCACAUACUUGGCUUCACAUUGAAAUGGUUCAUUAGCUUCAUCUCACACGACUUGUCACAAUGCAUAUCCACGAACCAAUUCAGUUAAUGUUUGACGAUUAGUAAAAUUUUAGAGUAAAUCGACGGAUGCAUGAAUAAAUCGACUGGUGCAUUGCAAUGGGAGAAAACAACACCAUACACACACACCACCAAGCUCUAGAACCUUUCCCUUCAGCAUGUCAAUCAGGCAUACUCAGCCCCAUGCACUCGGUCGCACGAUGAUCUUGUACCCCUGCAGCCCAACCAGCGACGUCGGCGGCGAGUUAAGGCAAUAUUGAUUGACAAGCACUGGCGACCUACAUAGGAUGGAGGAAAAAAGGGCAGAACAGGGAGGCUUGUAUCUAUCAAGCAUAAAUAUUUGCUGAACCUAAUCGAUUUGAUCAGUACCAAUUUGAGCAAGAUUGUCAAAUAGCUUCUUGAUAUGGCAUCUACAUCAGAAAAUCCAGCACACCAAAUAUAUACAUAUGUUUAGUAAUGACACGGAAAUCAGAUUGUUCCAAAGAUAGUGAGGAUUGACAAAGGGUCUUGAAGAAUUUUGACAAUGUAACAUAAUAGGUCACAACCUCCAUCACAAUGUAAACCGUACCAAUAUGAACAGGAUUGUUUCAAGGUUAUAGUAAUUGUAACCUCAAAAAUAUUCCAUCUAAAUCCUGGUAUAUGUUCCUUUUUUAGAUCGUUUAUAGAAUCAAUAAUAUAUAACGACAUGAGGAUCAAUGAUCAAAGAUCGACUAAGAAACUCAGGGAUUAGGGAAUCAUACUUACCUUGUUAAGAAUGGUAUCGAUGGAAUUAGUGAAGGGAUGUGUGGUACACAGACCAAUAGAUCCGUGCGUCCUUGAUACACGCAUGUACGUACAGGAAGGUUGAUGGGUUGAAACUUGAAAGGAGAUUGAUUCAUCUCUCGACCAGACAAUACAAGAACAUGAUUUCGUUCUGUAUCUUUAGCCCAAGCACCCCUAUCUCUGUGUUCUCUUAUUUCUUCGCACUGUCCUCAUCACCUCGGCAUCCCGAUCUAGUGCCUCUGGCCAUGCCACCCCGGUGACGUCGCCCCAGCCUGCCCACUUGUGUUGCACGGCUUCUCCACAAGCUUUUGCUUCUGUGUUUGCUGCGUCAGCCCCACCAUGCCAUGGCCACUAUCUCGCAAUAUGGGAAAAUCUGGAGGGGAGAGGCAAUUAAAAAAAGAAUUUGGUUCUUGCUUUCCAAUUAAGAUCUGAAUGAAGACGUUGUGGCGUCAAGAGACGGCCAUCUGAAUUUCCACGACGACACAAAACUGAAUGCAAGUAAUAUUGCUCUAUGAAAAUCUACACAGGAGUACACCAAGAGCUGCACGGACAUUUUCUCCAUGUAGUAUGGUUAAAACUACCCUGUUCCACUGUUUCUCGUUUCCAAAUCUGCAAUUCAUAAGCACAAAAAGGUAAAUCCUUAGGUUCAGUAUUUUGUUCAGAACAGAAAAACAAAUCUUCUUAGUUGGGAUGCACCUUAUGCAGAUGUAUAAAAGUCUAGUACUCUGUUCCUCCUUUCCAAAUCUGCAAUUCCUUGCUUUCCAAAUCAGACUGCUUAAUUUACAAACAAAGAAACUUGUGUUGCUUGCCAUGAAAGAGAUGGAGGCAGGGAAAUAAAACCGUAGAAAACAUGAUGCGUAUGCUGCUUGUUGUGGAAGAGAUGGAGGCUCAAGAUGUGGCAUGUGUCGCUGUCGUGGAAGAGAUAGGGGCUGACGGGCUCGGGAGCGGAGCACCUUGAGAGGACGCCGGAGCAGGUCGGCACCCGCACAUCCUGCCUCGCUUCAGUUGCCUGAUGCGCACCCCCCUCCCCGAGCGUAGCACCGCCUCCCCGCCAUUCCCGCCGCCCUUGCCUCUCCAUUUUCUCCUCCUUCGUUCCCGUGCGGCCUCCCGCCUCGCUGCCACCGCUUGAUGCGGCGCCCGAGCACAGUGCUGCAUCCCUGCCAUGGCCUCCGCCCCCAGCAAGCCUGAGCCUUUAUCUCUGUGCUCCCCUCCCACCUCGCUGCCUUUGUCUGAUGCGAAUCUGGGCUCGAGACUACCAUGGGCGCUGGCCCUCGACCAAGAUGAACGCAGGGCAGUGCGGAUCCCGCGUCGGGAUGGUUGCGGUGGUAGCCUUUGGGGUGAGGAAGGGCGGUGGUGCAGGGGCGGGGCAGGCCGACCGGAAGGGAGUGGAGGCGCGACGGUCGGCAGGGAGGAAGAGGAUGAAUGGCUCAGGGGAGGUGUUUUUUACAAAAAUCAAAACGUUUUUUUAGAUCCACUUAAUAAGGGACCGCGGGUGGAAUACCAAACAAACAUAACGACUUUUUGCAAAAACGCCGACGACGGACGACCAGAAACCCUAUUUGCUUUAUUAAUAGGUAAAGAUAAAGACGUUACAAAAUAAUACAUCAGUAAGUCUAAAGUCAUCAUUUUAGCAGCAGUUGCCGCUACUUCUGUCCAAUUGAUGAAGGGAUGUCGAUUGUGCGAGCCUAAUACCAAACAGACCUCGUACGUAAGUCUUUCAUCUAAAACUGGAGGCCCCAGCCAAGCCAUAUACCUGGUCUGGGGCACACACCAGCCCAACGCACUAUGAGAGGCCGCUGUCCUCGUCUUCCACCAAUCCAUCCUCGAAGCAGAUACGUACGCCACAACCUUGCCAGGUCUUCCAUCGACGCCACCAUGACGCCAGAUAGUGUCAUCCUCCUGCGCGACUCCAUCUACACACAUCAAACGUCGAGACUCCACUGUGCCGCGUCGCCGAGAUCCACAAUCGUCGAUGCUUAAGAUGAAACACCGCUCCAUCAAAGAUGUUGUCCGCUGGUCCCUCGAGACCAUGCACACCUCCAAUGCUGACACCCCUAAGGAGGAAAUGACACAAGAACACUGUCGUCAUUCGAUCUACCGAUCUAGGGUUUUCCCUGGAGGUAACAGAUAGAGGUGUGGAACUUCUCCACAAUGAUGUCUUCAAAAAAAGAAUUGCACGGAAGAGCACCAUCAUCGCCGGCCUUGGCAUCUAGCCGAGCGCAAGGCUUUCACCCAGAUAUGUUUGAAGAACCUCCAUCAAGUCUUGUGUACAGAUCGCCGGCAUCUACACCGGGGGCUGGAAGUAGGCUCGAGGCCAUCGCCGCCUGACCAACUGGCAGUUGCGUCGUGCGAGCAGCAGGGCCUCCCGCAAGUCCCAACUGCACCAUCGCAGAACCCUACACUAGACCUCGAUGCUGGCUCAGGAAAGGCCGACGCCACGUAUGCCCAGCUGCCACCGUCGCCAACAUGUGCCGUCGCGUGGCCGCGCCCCACGGUUGAGCGUCGUUGCCAAUAAAAGAAAGCGUCCCGCGCUGCCAUCCUGUUUAGCAGAUCUCUGGCAAUGGCUAGACAAAUGCUAUUCUCGAUUGCUCAACAAUUAUAAAUUGUCUUGCAAAGACCCACCAGCGCAUGGGAUCGAGGCAGUUUUCGAGGGUAGAGUAUUCGACCCAAAUUUGUUGAUUCGCCAGGAGGAAGUGAGAGGAUACUCUCAAGUAUUAGCAGCUGAAUGUGUCAGAUUCAACCACACUUGAAAGAUUAAUAUCUGCAAGCAAAGUAUCAACAACAAAGUAGUAUGAUAACAACGCUGUCACAAAUGAUCUGUUGAUGGCAGACUAUUCCUAACGAUUGUAUCAAUGGCGCCAGAAAAGUAUUGUAGCAGGUAGCAGCAGUGUAACGAGUAGCAGCAGUGGCAAGGAACAAUAGUAGUGGCAGCAGUAGCAAGUAGCAACAGUAGCAAGUAACAACAGAGCAAGACAAGUAACAGCAGCAGCAACAGUAGUAACAGCAGCAGAGCAAGACAAGUAACAGUAGCAGCAACAGUAGUAACAGCAGGAGAGCAAGACAAGUAACAGCAGUAGUGUGACAAACUCGUAGGCAAUGGGUCGGUGAUUUGUUUGGAUGAUAUUCAUCAUGCAAUAGUUAUAACACAGAGAGAUAUGUGGCUAGCUCCCGUUCGUCAAUGUGAUGUAGGCAUGCAUUCCGUGUGUCGUCAUACGUGCUUAGGGAAAAGAACUUGCAUGACAUCUAUUGUCCAUCCCUCCCGUGGCAGCGGGGUCCAAAAGGAAACUACUGGAUAUUAAGGUUCUCCUUUUAAUAAAGAACUGGACCAACGCAUUAGCACUUGGUGAACACAUGAACUCCUCAAACUAUGAUCAUCACCGGGAGUGGUUCCGGUUAUUGUCACUCCGGGGUUGCCUGGUCAUAACACAUAGUAAGUAACUACAACUUGCAAGAUCGGAUCUAAAACACACAUAUAUUGGUGACAACAUAAUAAUUUUAGAUCUGAAAUCAUGGCACUCGGGCCCUAGUGACAAGCAUUAAGCAUGNNNNNNNNNNNNNNNNNNNNNNNNNNNNNNNNNNNNNNNNNNNNNNNNNNNNNNNNNNNNNNNNNNNNNNNNNNNNNNNNNNNNNNNNNNNNNNNNNNNNAUAUUAUGCUCGACGAGUCGCUGUUGCAUGAUCUAAUGCAGAUGCUGACACCCAUCGGUGACGUUCAGCAUGCCAUCCAGGAGGCGCCCUCUGAUCAUGUGCACCACCUUCAGGUUCCGGCGACGGCCGUCCAACACCAACAGACGCUAGGCGAAUCAUCGGCGCACCACUUCCACGGUCCAAUGCCAAGGGAGGCGUCGGUUCACAUGCAGCACCAUCAGGCGACAGCGUCAGCGGCGCCCUUCAACCACGAGCAGCACCUUCAAGCGCCGGUCCACCAAAUGCAAAUGCAGCAUGCAUCUUCAGAUUAUAGCUUCAGCGAUGUAGUGUUGGAGGACUCGCUGCUCCAAGACCUAAUAAUGCAG
rnacentral:lncRNA from 1 species